rnacentral:lncRNA from 1 species
CAAAACAAAAUCAUCUGAUGUUUCUCAUAAGAUGCUAAGGAACCUAUGGACAUGAUUCUGCCCAAUUUCUAACUAUGCGUUUUUUUAGAGUAAAUUGCAUUCACGGUGCAUCAACUUGGUAGGUGGGUGUAAUUUAGUGUAAUAAUUUUAGAAAAGAGCGUAUUAGUGCAACAACUUGGUAGAUGGGUGUAAUUUAGUUUGAGAACUUUAUAAGUGAGCAUACGAGUGCAAUAACGUGCAAGAUGGGUGAGAUUUUGGUACAACAAAUUAAAAGUUUAUGUGGCAACUUAAUUAUUCCAAAUAUUUUUUAUACAUAUUCAAUUUAAGUAUACUAGCACAGAUUUGUAUAAACAUAUUUAAAAUUUCAUUCUAAUAUACGAAAGUCAAUUAAACUUUACUAUGUAGAAAAUAUUGUAUUUUCUUUGAGAUUCAAGAAGGGGAAGAAAAAAAAUCCAAACCAUUGAUGCAAAAUUGAUGUCCAAUGUAAUUUUUAAAGAUUAAAUUCAAUACUAUAAGGUAAUAUUAGUAGGAUUGCUACGUGAUGGCAUAUUGACAUCGUGAAAAAAAAAACUCACCUAACACUCAUUAAUGAACUCAACACAUAUUUAGCCAAGUUGCUGCACAAAAUCACUAAAUUAUCAAAUUCUUGUACUAGAAUGCACCCACUUAUCAAAUUGAUGCACUCGGACGUUCAAUUGUAAAUUUCGUAUAUUAUAUCACACAUAUAUGCCAAGUUGUUGUCCCAUGGUCUAAUUUAAUUUGUAUUUACCUUUUUGAAAUGAGUGAAAUACAUGGCCAGUCCCUAAACUUGUGUGGUGGUGUCACUUAGGUCCGUGAACUUGAAAAUUGCACGUUUAGGUCCGUGAAUUUGGUUUAAUGUACCACCCCGGUCUAAACGUCCUUUGACUGCGUUUGACCGCCAACGUGGCAUGCCACGUAGGCAACACUUUUGCUCUCAGCCCCCUCUACAUCACAACACGUCGCAUAUAUCUCGUUGUAGCUAUAUAGUGACACCAGAAUCCCCCCCCCCCCCGAAAAAAAAAAUCCUCAAAUCGUUCUUCCUUCUCAUUCUUCUCCUUGCAUGUAUAGAAAAUGCGGUCCCAAUUAGCAAUUGCCAUUGCACUGCCUCCUGCCGCUAAUCUCACCGCCGAGGCCGCCACAGCCGCUACCUCUCGGCCUCCUUCUACUAACCUCACCGUGGAAGCCCUAGUCGAUUUAGGGAUAUUUUGGGGGAUUUGGGUUGAAAUACAUUGGUCAGGGCAAGUUAUGCGCGAAGAUAUAUGUGGAGGAGGUUGAGCACAAAAGUGUUGCCUACGUGGCAUGUCAUGUUGGCAGUCAAACGUGGUCAAAGGACAAUUGGACCGGGGUGGUAUAUUAAACCAAGUUCACGGAUCUAAACAUGCAAUUUUCAAAUUCACGGACCUAAGUGACACCACCUCACAAGUUUAAGGACCGGUCAUGUAUUUCACUCUUUUGAAAUUAUGCAACUUUUUAAGGAGCCACGAUAUAUCAUGUUACAACUCCUUUUUUUGGAACAUAGGAAAAGCUCACAAAAUCCUCAGAAAUUCCAUCACUCAAGGAGGCCUAACAAGAUUUCCAAAAUAUAUGUUCACAAUGGAAAAAACAAUCCAUGGUAUCAAGUUACAUUGAGCUUGUAUUAUGCUCAAUUAAUCCAUUAAUUGUUAGGGUACAUACUCACUCAUUAGUACUUAAUAUUGCCUACAGUAAGUUUUAUAACGAGUCCACUCACUUAAGGACUUGUUAUUUCCCAUGAUAUAAUCCAUAGUAUCAAAGGAACAUAGUAUUUGAACACAAUCUUUACGUGCACACACCUAUUAGAGAAACGGGAACUAGAAUCCCCAUCUUCGGUUGCUUGGGGCACAUCCGUCCCCAGAUGCGGCCCCUGUGGGCUGUCCUUAGAGCACAUCCACCUUCGGGCGCGGCCCCCUUUGGGCUGUGAUCAGGGUGCAUCUACCACAUCCGCCUCCGGAUGUGGCACCCUGUGGGUUGAGCUUAGGGCACAUCCCCCCGGGGGGCGUGGCCCUCCGUGGGCUAUGCUCGAAGUGCAUCUACCACAUCUGCCUCCGGGCCAUAUCGAGACAUAUAGAUCUACGCCUUCAUGGUAUCAAUAACACGUCGCCACAUAUGUGAUCUACAUCUUCAUGGUACCAAGAAGAUAGUCAAGACCUACAAGAUCUACAUUUUCAAGGUGUUUAAGAUGCAGCUCACGAUUUGUUGCAUCUCCUUCACCUCGUGUCCACACGCUCUGGAGCUUCCCCAUGCUCCUAGUCAUACAAGAUGCCUGUUCUCGGGCACAAACAGAUGUUGCGUAGUCCACUUUGAGGGCCCAUUUUUCUAUUGCGCGAUUUAUCACCCUGUUUUGGUGCAUCUGCUCCCUGGUCGAAUCUCCGAGGGGGAAUACUUGCUUCCCCUCCUACGGAGUCUCACACUUCGACAAACAACUAAAAAAUAAGUCAGAAAAAAUAAGAAAAAAUGUAUGUGUACUUUCUAUAGUAUUAUAUCUACGUGUAAAAUGACAUUGAAAGAAAAAAAAUUCUAAAAGAUUUAUUGUCUUAAAGUUGUAAGAAUAUUUUUACAGUUAAAAUAUAAUGAAUUUGAUGUUAAAACUUUGCAAAUAGGUCUAACACUAUUGAUAGUAUAUGAAUAUUUUUUUCUAGAUUUUUUUCGAUAUUUGUUAGUUAGUAUGCAUAGAGUGUGUACGUGAAAUUUAUAUGCACAACAUACGUUUCCUAGUAUCAAAUCAACUAAAGGUCAUAUCUACUCUUUACCUAGACUAAUAUAGUACUAUGUAGUUUAAAAUUUUAUAACCAAACUUAUCGUUGCAUUUUUAUCUGUCAGUUUUGUAAGAUGCAUUGGCAUAAGUUCAUGAGAAACCAUAAAAUUUCCCUAACGAUAAAUAAAAAAAGAAACAUUUAAGUAUUAUAUCGGGCAUAGUUAUCUUACUCCUUUUCGAUCAUACUUUGGAAGUAGUUUUAAGCCCUUAUGAGCUUGAUAAAACAUACUCCAGUAAUUUUAAAUCGAACUUUUUUAAUGAAAUGUCUCCCAACUUAAAAAGGGUACAAAGAGAUAUCAGGAUGUAAUAAGCCGCACCUUGGGCUACACAGAUCGCAGGCACAGACUGGGAAAGAAUUCGGCUCGCCGUUGUCUUCCGAGAUGGAGAAGUGAGCCGUAGGCGUAGAGCCGCAUUUCUCAUCACUCCUUUUUAAUUCGCGGCGAUUUUUGGGGUGGUGGGCCGAAGAUUUGUAACUGGAUGGUGAGGUCUGUCUGGUGAAAAGGAUGGCCGCGACGAAUCCGUACAUCGAUCGAUCCAGCGCUGUGCGUGUGUGGGUGGUGUGUUGGAGAGAGAAAAGGGAUGGGAGAGAAGGCACCGGUAGGGCCCACCGCGCAGUGAGAGUCUAUAGAUAGAUGCCUUCCUCUCUGAUCACCUGAUGCCCUUCCUCUUCUCCCCCCUUGCUACUACUAGUUGCUUGCCUCUUCCCACCUCACCUCGCAUUGCAAUCUCGCAUCGCCUCUUCCUUCUCUUCUUCCCCUUCUUCUCCCCUUCUCAUCCAACCUCGCUUCCCAACCCUGGAUCCAAAUCCCAACCUAUCCCAAAGCCGAAACCGAGGAGAGGAAAAAGGUUACGCGCAAUUAUUACUAGCUAUAGCUAGGUAGGUUUGGGGGAGGCGAGAUCAUGAAGCGCGAGUACCAAGAAGCCGGCGGGAGCAGCGGCGGCGGGAGCAGCGCCGAUAUGGGGUCGUGCAAGGACAAGGUGAUGGCGGGGGCGGCGGGGGAGGAGGAGGACGUCGACGAGCUGCUGGCGGCGCUCGGGUACAAGGUGCGGUCGUCCGACAUGGCCGACGUCGCGCAGAAGCUGGAGCAGCUGGAGAUGGCCAUGGGGAUGGGCGGCGUGAGCGCCCCCGGCGCCGCGGAUGACGGGUUCGUGUCGCACCUGGCCACGGACACCGUGCACUACAACCCCUCGGACCUCUCCUCCUGGGUCGAGAGCAUGCUUUCCGAGCUCAACGCGCCGCUGCCCCCUAUCCCGCCAGCGCCGCCGGCUGCCCGCCAUGCUUCCACCUCGUCCACUGUCACCGGCGGCGGUGGUAGCGGCUUCUUUGAACUCCCAGCCGCUGCCGACUCGUCGAGUAGCACCUACGCCCUCAGGCCGAUCUCCUUACCGGUGGUGGCGACGGCUGACCCGUCGGCUGCUGACUCGGCGAGGGACACCAAGCGGAUGCGCACUGGCGGCGGCAGCACGUCGUCGUCCUCAUCGUCGUCUUCCUCUCUGGGCGGUGGGGCCUCGCGGGGCUCUGUGGUGGAGGCUGCUCCGCCGGCGACGCAAGGGGCCGCGGCGGCGAAUGCGCCCGCCGUGCCGGUUGUGGUGGUUGACACGCAGGAGGCUGGGAUCCGGCUGGUGCACGCGUUGCUGGCGUGCGCGGAGGCCGUGCAGCAGGAGAACUUCGCGGCCGCGGAGGCGCUGGUCAAGCAGAUCCCCACGCUGGCCGCGUCCCAGGGCGGCGCCAUGCGCAAGGUCGCUGCCUACUUCGGCGAGGCCCUCGCCCGCCGCGUGUACCGCUUCCGCCCCGCGGACAGCACCCUCCUCGACGCCGCCUUCGCCGACCUUCUGCACGCCCACUUCUACGAGUCCUGCCCCUACCUCAAGUUCGCCCACUUCACCGCAAAUCAAGCCAUCCUCGAGGCUUUCGCCGGCUGCCACCGCGUCCACGUCGUCGACUUCGGCAUCAAGCAGGGGAUGCAAUGGCCAGCUCUCCUCCAGGCCCUCGCCCUUCGUCCCGGCGGCCCCCCAUCGUUCCGCCUCACCGGCGUCGGCCCCCCGCAGCCGGACGAGACCGACGCCUUGCAGCAGGUGGGUUGGAAGCUUGCCCAGUUCGCGCACACCAUUCGCGUCGACUUCCAGUACCGGGGACUCGUCGCCGCCACUCUCGCGGACUUGGAGCCGUUCAUGCUGCAGCCGGAGGGCGAGGCGGACGCGAACGAGGAGCCUGAGGUGAUCGCCGUCAACUCGGUGUUCGAGCUGCACCGGCUGCUCGCGCAGCCCGGCGCGCUGGAGAAGGUCCUGGGCACGGUGCACGCGGUGCGGCCAAGGAUCGUCACCGUGGUAGAGCAGGAGGCCAACCACAACUCCGGCUCAUUCCUCGACCGGUUCACCGAGUCGCUGCACUACUACUCCACCAUGUUCGAUUCCCUCGAGGGCGGCAGCUCCGGCCAGGCCGAGCUCUCUCCGCCGGCUGCCGGGGGCGGCGGUGGCACGGACCAGGUCAUGUCCGAGGUGUACCUCGGCCGGCAGAUCUGCAACGUCGUGGCGUGCGAGGGCGCGGAGCGCACGGAGCGCCACGAGACGCUGGGGCAGUGGCGCAACCGCCUCGGCCGCGCCGGCUUCGAGCCCGUGCACCUGGGCUCCAAUGCCUACAAACAGGCGAGCACGCUCCUCGCGCUUUUCGCCGGCGGCGACGGCUACCGGGUGGAGGAGAAGGAGGGCUGCCUCACGCUGGGCUGGCACACGCGCCCGCUCAUCGCCACCUCGGCAUGGCGCGUCGCCGCGGCGUGAUCGCAAAGUUUUUGGGACGCUGCACCACGUGUUUGCCGCCGAUCACGGCGCGACCCCCCCCCCCCCCCCUCUCUCUCUCCCCGGCUCACCGGCGGCACAAUUGAAGCUUGACGUCAACGAACGCUCAAUUGCAGCGACCGAUCGGGCUUACGGUUCUCGCCGGCGUGAAGAGAUCGACGACUGGACUCCGACCAGACCGACGGCUUGUUCGUUCUCCUUUCCCAAUUACCCCGUUCCUUGGUCCUCCUAGCCCAUCUAUUAUGUUUAAAUGUCAAUUAUUAUGUGUAAUUUCUCCAAUCGCUCAUAUUAAAUAAGGACGAACCGAACUGGAUUUCAUUAGCUCCAAUGAGAAUUUUGUAUACAAGGCACCGAUCUAAAAAUUGAGCUAUAUGUUCAUGAGUUACAGAAUGCCCCCUUGAUGCUCCUGUGAACAUGUCGAAUGCGUUUGCUGCAACAACGGCAGCUUUGCUUGUGAAAUCUACCGACCUAGGAUACCUUAGAUUCACGAGUCCAGCUUGCAUAUGUUUGUGCGUUGCCAUAAAUGGUUUCCCAAUAUUGGAGAAGCAACCAGUGAUGCGUCUUACGGUUGCUGGAUUGGAAACAUCUCGUUAAGUUUCCUCGAGUGUACUCCUCCGCCCUCGUGGCCGUCCUACGCUGGUAGUUUUCGAUCUAAAUAUGAGCUUGAGCUUUCCCCCGUUAGAACUGCCUAACCACCAAUCUUUCUCCUUUCCAUCAGUGCUGAAACAAAUCAGUACUAGUAUUCAUCACUGCACCUUUAUCUAAUUAGUCUCUAAUUAGUGUGUCGCAUUCUCCAGAUAAAGAUGGUACAUAACCAUAGAACUACAACAUGUGUAGUAGAACCUAAAAUUACAGUUUCGAAUCAGACUAGUAGCAAAGAAUCGAAGUCCAUGCGAAAGGACUGGAUCUAACUAGUGUGGACACCACACAAAGCACAGCACAUGUAGCUCCACUUGGUACUCCCAUUUACCAAAUGGAGACAGCUGCUUCGGUAGUCCCCUCUACACCGUAUUAAUCCCCACAUAACCACCGUCGUUCAAUUCUACGUCUGGUACAGGAACUUUUACUGCUCGCUGGGCUCGGAUUGGCGCAGGGAGAGAGAGGGAGGAGCAGUGGCAACCUGAGAGGCCACUGGCCUGCUGCUGCACAGUACGGUACGGCACAUUGCCACUUCUGUUGAGGUCUUGUCCUCCCAUGAGGCACACCAUGCAGCGUGGCCGCCUCCCACGGCCCGCUCGCUUUCGAAAUUAACCGCGCGGCGCGCGCCGGAAACAGAGAACAUUUCACGCCUUUCUAGUCUUUCACCCCAACAAACGCUGUAGCUCGCCAGUGAAAAACGCCCGUGGGGGCGGAGCGAAAACUCACGGUAAAAGCUCGGGUUUUCGGGGUGAUUUUUACGGGGGUUUUCUGGGCAGCCAAUGGGGAGAGAGAGGAAGAAGGCAGCGGUAGAAGUUGAGACGGGAACGGGAGAGAGGAGGCGGGCGGCAGCAACAGCUGUCCAAUCGGGAUCAGGUGGCUCAUGUCAGGAGAUGAUGGGGCGCUGCGUGGUGGUGGGGCCCACACGUCGGCCCCCCUCUCUCUCUCUCUCACCCCCCGUCCGAGUCACACAGCUAGCUAUAGCAGUAGUAGUAGUAGGAGUAGCUCUGAGUCUCUGACUAGGACACCCCCUUCUCUAGCUCGGGCUGGGGACAUGGUGGGCCCACCGAGAUAAAGAAAAGAAACGAAAAAGGGGAGGAAAAAUCCUCCUCUCGGCGAACCGGGCGAAGGGGGGCCCCGGCGCCGGCCGAUCCGGUGGUGGACUGGCGGAGGGGGACGUUUGCGCGAGGGGGGUCAAUUCGGGUGUGACCACGACGGGAUCGCGCGCCCGCCGUGCCGUGCCGUGCCGUGCCGUCCCACUCCCGCGCGCGUUCCGUUCGUUCCGUUCCUCCCCCCUCGCCCGCCUUCCUGUCGCGGGCGCGAGAAAAAAAGAAGCGCGCGCGCCCGAGCGUACGUACCACUCCCGUACAGAGACAGUUGCACGCGCCGCGCCGCAGCAGCCGCGACGUUUUCCGCUCCUCUUUUGCGGCUCUCACCCACAUCCCCCCCCCCCCCCCCGGCUGCCUAUGGCAUGGACACCGUCACACCCACCCCGCGGCGACCUCGCGCGCGCCGGCUCGUCCCUAUCCAGUAACCAGCACGACACAAGUUUUUUUCUUUACACAAACCCGCCCCAUAUCCCCCGCGGCGCCCGCUCGCUCACGCCCACGCCGCGGCGGCGGCCUGCGCGUCCGCGCGUGGAAUUUCGUCCGGUGCGGCCUCCCCCAGCCGGCCGCGUGUGCUGGCAGCGGUCCGCGUGGAGGCAUCCCGUGCGCGCUCGCGCGGAGGGUGGGUGGGGCGGGGUCGAUUCGGCGAACGAUUCGGUGCGUCGUCCCCGCGAGAUGUGGUGCGUGCAAACGCGAUGGUGAGAUGGGUUGGGUCGGCGUCGUGGCGGGUCAGGGUGGGGAUGGUGAUAUGGUGAUAAGCUAGGUUGGUUAGCUGUGGGCGAACCAACGUGAGGGGGAAAUACGGGCCCGGGCCCGUGCCCGUCAACUCGUAAAUGGUGGGAUAAGGUUGACAAGAUAUGGGGUAAUGUUAUCUUUCUUAUAUUUCGUUCUUUUUUUCUUACUUACGGAACAGAAAAAAAAAAGGGGGGGGGGGAGGUAACGGAAAGCAAUAAUUUCCACGUGUUUGAAGUCUUUAUAUUUUGUUUAUGGAGGGAAAGAAACAGAAAAGAUUAAAUUAGUGUACAACAUAAAUAGACCGGUUUGGUUGAAAUCAGACCCGUACCUUAUCAAGUGGUAGUGAUAAUACUUGAUAUGACUUAUUUUAAGUAAACAUUCCUGUAGAUACCACAACAAUUGGAUGCACAUGCUGUGUACUUUGUGUUUAUUCAUUUUGAAGAUGAAAUGUUGUACGCGAUAAUGCAUCUGGAAUUUUUUUUAGAUAAUGAAUGCAUUUUGAUCUAAUGAAGGUCCUCAAACUUUUUUUUCAACGACUUUGCAGUGUCUCAAAAUUUAGUCGUCAAUCGAGUUGGACGAAUAUUUAUCUAUGGAUUUUUCAACAUAACAAAGUGUCCUAGCUACCUAUAGAAAAUUUUGCAAAAAUGCUAUACCACUUCCUGUAGCACCUGCAGUAGGGGUGGGCACAAUUAGACCGAACUGAAGAACCGAACCGAAAAAACCGAGACCGAGAAAUUCGGUUAGUAGUUUGGUUUCAGCCAUCAAAAGAUCGAAUUUAUUUCGGGUAUUUCGGUCAUUGGGCUCGGUUAACUGAAUUAACCAAGAUAACCGAAUUGUGGCCAAACAGGCCUACGAGACCCAAUAAGCCUAGUAACAUAAACCCUAAUCCUACCCUAUCUCUCACUGCCUGCCUCACGCGUCACGCCCCUCACUCCCUCCUCAGCGCCGCAUUCCUCCCCAUCCACCGCGCGUUCGCGCUCACCGCCGCUCGGCCUCCGCCUCCACCGCGCCGCUUCCACCCUCCACCUCCAACCUCCACCGUGUCGGCGCCGCCUCCAGCCAGGACGCCUCCGCCUCGGCACCGCCCUUUCACCUGUCAUGGCGGAAGAAAUCGUGCACCCUCCGGUGACCCUGCUGCGCCGGAGACCUCGAUGGCUAAGGAGGCCGGUCGAGGAUGAAAGCUACUGUAGGAGAUCGACGGGAUCUAGAGCUUCAGGUGGAAUUGUUGAGAUCAACGGGAUCCAAGUCAUGGCAAGAUCGAUUUGCUUUUUCUUUUUUCUGAAUCAUGCUCUAGUGGCAUCGUAAUGUAGUUCUUCAUCCGAGUUGCUUCGAUUCAUUGAUAUUGUAUAGAGUUUUUUUUGUGAUUAAUUUUUUUGCUGUUUAAACUGCUGUUAUGGUUAGUUCGGUCUAUGACCGAGACCGAACCGAACCGAACUAACCGAAGACCGAAGUGCUUGGUCUUGAGUUUUCUUGAAAACCGGUCGGUCCUGUGAUUCGGAAGACCAAAUUUUCCAAAAGACCGAGGAACCGAACCGAAUUUUUCGGUUAGACCGAAUGCCCACCCCUAACCUGCAGCAUACCCCACGCACCAGAUAUCACCAUGUUUCCAACAUGAAAAAAUAACCGAAAGCUCGCCACACAACUCAAUCAGAUCAUCCUUCUUCCGGCAGAAUAUUUCAUCUGCAUAGGUUCAUGAACCUUAAUCUCUGGCUCCAAAUAUCCCCCGUUAUCUUCACAAACCGAAACGAUUAAAAAAAAACUGCAUCCAGUGGCACCUCCAACGCUUUGGGCUAAUCAUUCCAGCAUUUGGACCUACCGUGUCGAUCGAUCGAUCGGCCACUAGCUACGCACAUCUCGAGAUCCUCGCGAAGAGAUAGCUGCUUAAACAAAGAGGCGAUCGAUCGGUGGUUGCAUGAGGGAGCUAUGACUAGGCGAGAGGACUACAACGCAACGCACCGCCAAGGAUAAUAAUAGUAUUAGUACUAAUCUAAUACUGCUACUACUGCUAAUAAUAAUGCUGCUGCUUGAGAUCAUGAGAUGCUAUGUGUGGGUGUUAGCGUGUGCAGAUCAGAGUUGUUUAGCCCCCUUUUUUUUUUCUUUUACUCGCACAGAAUCUUUAGAUUGGUGACUGCCCCCCGCAAAAAAAAAAAAAGAUUGGUGACUGCCAGGUGGUCCCCUCCGGCUCCUAACCGAGGUGUCAGAACCACACCGGCUGUGUCUAAAUCUGCUCGUAAACAUCUCGUUUCAUUCCUGCAAACACAUGGCCUGGCAGAGGAGUAUCCUUUUUUUCCCCUCCUCGCUUUAAUAAUCUGAGCUCGUAGUUGUACUACUACUCCUAGUUCUGUAUUAAUUCUGUAUUAGUAUUCACUAUUGAGACUGUAGAGUACAAUUCAGAGGGGGAGGAUUCCUUGAUUCCCUCUGUGUCUCUUGGGAUGCAUAAUUAACUUAAGGGUUACAUUAACUUAAGAGUGCAAUUAGUUGGAGCCUGAGAUCGGAGUUGUUUAAGCAAAGCCUACGUACACCUUGGAAAGGUGAGUGAUUGUCCGGGCGUUAGUGUCUUCAUUUGCAUGGCCACUUCGAGGGGUCUUGUGUGGCCAAUGGUUGCAAAUGCAGAGAGCAAAAGAAGCAUUUCGUACCGGCGUGUAUGUCUUGGGACAGGCCUGAACUUCUUCGGUGCUGGAGUAUUUAGCAAUUAGUAUUGUUGGGUUGCACUUUUUUUUGAGUUAAUUGUACUUUGUAUCAAUAUUUAUUGAGAACUUUUACGGUGUUUGUGUUCUAAAAAGAUAAACAUCCAACGCUCCUCGAUAGCAGGUACCAUGUGAAAAGUAUUUAAGUUUUGGUAUAGAUACUUAGAUACCAAGGAUAAAAACAUAAAUAUACUAGUUGAGAGAAACGGUAGAAUUGUCUCUAAAUAUUUAUUGGUACCACAUAGGUACCAGUUAAGUGAUUUGCUGGUACUAGUUGUUCUCAUUUUCAUGAUUUUCUAUAUAUUUAUGUUGUGCUUUUUGAGAUUCUCAUUUGCAUGAUUUUCUUUAUAUUUAUAUUUUGUUCCAAAGAAAACAUUAUUGGAGUAAAAGUUUUCAUCUGCGUUCAUUUCUCUAGAUUUACGUUACGUUCUCAAGAAGACGUCAAAACCCCUCUGUUUAAUUCUUUUGAGAUUUAUAUCUUUUUUACUAGAAGAUAUUUGUAUUGUGUUUCAAAAACAUGAUCGGUUAAAAUAUCACCGAAGGUUUGCGUUGAUUAAAAUUAUACAAUAUUUUAUCAAUUUAUCACUAAAAAGCAUGAAACUUCUUCCUUGACUACAUAAAUAACUAAUUAGCUGCAUAAAUAAGUCAUGGAUAUCUUCGAAGGUAGAGAAGAAAGGAGAUAUGAUCUUUGAUUUUUUUUUCUUUCUUCGAUACAUAUUGAAUCAAUCGCUAAAUUAACGGGGUAGCCAUGAUUUAGGUUUUUAUUUCUCUAUAAUGAUAUCGAUCUGUACAACGAUACCGGUCAAUAGAACCAGGUAUUCAAUUCACAUUAAAUACAUAUAAUUACCCCACUACCAUCAUGUUACAAUAAUUUUAUUCCAUACCUUACCCCUCUUUUGAUCAAUGGUUUACCUCUUUCCAUCAUUAUGAGUCUUGCUUUAUACUUGUGUGCAUUGUCUUCUCAACAUCUACCUUAAUAAGCCCCAGGUGGACUUCCAAUUUGAAAAAACACAGUCUAUAGAUGGAUUUUCCCCCUUUUUGGAUAAUAAAAAAAUAUUAUUUGCAAGAUAUUUUCGAAAAGCCUUUGCGUUUCAGACUAGCAUUAGUUUCUUUGUAGGAGAUAGCCCAACAGCAAGAAACAACUGACCAUCACCACUAAUUUUGUGAUAGCUUAGCUAAAUUUGGUUCCAUGUGCUAUAGUUCUACGUACCGUGUGAUAAACCCUAGUAAUCACCAACCAUUACAUAGUACAGGUCUAUAGUGUAAAAUAUUAGAAAUCGCCUUUGAAAUUAUAGACGCUUGUGUCAAAAGAAGGGUCCACAUCACUUUCAGCUUGCCAAAUAUUAUUUUUAUUUUUAGAUUAUAAAAACACAAUUGAGAAUCAAUUCCCAAGGAAUUUCCCAGUAAAUGCAACAAUUUUCUUCCAAAAUAUCUAUAUAAUUGGCCAUUUUAUAGGAACUUUAAAAUAAACUAUAGUGUUCAAUCUUUAGGACCCCUUUGAACCACAGGAAUGAAAAAAAAAACGGAGGAAUAGGAAAAACGUAGGAUUUUUGUACGAAUGCAACUGUAAAAACAGAUGAUUGCAAAACAUAGAAAAGUUAUGUUACUAGCCCUUUGACAGUAUAGGAAUUUCACAGGAAAGAGAGUGUCAGGAAGUGUAUUAAUACAAUAAUACAUGUCACUUUGGCCUUAUCCACAAUAUCACAAUGUAUAUUUUCUUCUAAAAGAAUAACAAUGAUGCAUAGGUCUGUCAUUUACCUCGAUCCUAUGCACACAUGAUGGAAAAAAGAGGUUAGGGUGGAUGUUUUCUUUUCCUAUGUUUUUCCUGUGAAAUGAGUUCCAUAGGAAAAUUUCCUCUAACUUUCCUAUGCUCUAAUCCUGUGAAUCAAAGGCUGCUACAGUGCCCAAUCCUAAAUCAUACAUUUUUCCCAUGAAAUUCCUAUGAAUCAAAGGAGGCCUUAGUUUUAAAGUCUCUCCUGUAAAUUUCUCCUAUGGAAUUGAACUUCCUAAGGACCCAUUUGAAUCGUAGGAUUGAGAAAACGUAGGAAUAUAAAAAACGUAGGAUUUUGAUAUGAAUGUAAGUGUAAAACAGAUGAUUGCAAAACGCAGGAAAAACAUAGGAAUGACCGUUUGAUUGAACCACGAGAAAAACACAGGAAUUGGAUGAGAGAGAUAGACUCAAAGGAAAGUUAGCAAGAGGUUGAAGCUCUUGCUAAAUUUCCUCCAAAAUCUCUAUAGGAUUAUCCAUUUCAUAGGAAUUUCAAAGGAUUGGAUAGGAUUCAAUCAUUUGUUUCAAAGGGCUUCAUAGGAAAUUUUCCUAUAGAAUUGAAAUCCUCUAAAAUUCCUAUGUUUUUCCUCCAAAUCAAAGAGCCCUAAGUUUACUACUUCCUCCGUCCAAAAUGUAGGAAUUCUUUUAGGUUGGCACGUGUAUUAAGAAAAUAGAUGAGAAUAUCUGGAGAAAGUGUGCAAUUGGUUAAGAAGAGAAAGUAGAUGAAAGAGAAUGGUUAUGAUUGAUUGAGAGGAGGAAAUAGGUGGAGAAAUAGUUUUAUUUUUGGAUAAUGUGAUGUGUUAGAAAUAUCUAUAUUUUGGAACGGUGCUAGUAUGUUUUCAUACAAAUCAGACGGGACGUAACUCUGUUGCAACUUGCAAAGCACUACUGAAAUACUCCCUCCAUUCCUAAUUGAUCUUUAUAUAUGGUUUGUGCAUCAAUACCAAGACAAUCUUGCGGAGCACUUAAUCAACAUUGAAAACAUGUAUUAGCGUUUUGUAUCCGUGUAUGCAGCGCCAUCAAUUUUGCAUGCCGUAUGGCUGGCCAAUCAGUUGUGAGCGUAUUAAAUCCAUGCAUGCAACGACUCCUAAUUAGUUUUGCAUGCCGCAUAGCCUGGCCAAUCAGAUGCAUGCAGUGUUCGUUAGGAAGUGUCAUUAACGUCCUUCACAGGAUUUUCAUCGCCUCCCCACCGUAAUAUGAAGAUCAAAGUGAAAUUAUUAUUUUUUUGCAAUACGAUGAUCAAAAGGGAAUGGAGCGAGUAAGUCCUAUCUGUUACUCACCUGGAGACCAUAGUUCACCUGCUGGGUGGCGAUUAACGUGGCAUGGCACCAUGCGGAUAAUAAUAAUUCAAAAUGAUAUGGGCCCAAAACUCUACUACUACUACUACUUCUACUCAAAAGGGUGAUAUCCUGAUAUAGUAGGAGUAUUGACAAGAGUACUCGUACGGCGCCUCCGUCCAAACUCUCAAACAAGUGUGCGCCUGUCUUUCACGUUGCGAGCCAAGAGAAUUGGAAUCGUCUGCGUGCAACGCCUUUUUUUUUUCUUCUUCGACAACACCCAUCCAUCUUGUUGCGUCUCGUCGUUGCCACGGAUGGCAUUCGCUCGCUCGUGCAGAUGCUUUCCUAUCGAUCGGAUGGCAAUUUGCCCAAGUGGACGGAAUAUUGCCAUUUGCCGUCGGAUCAUCACUAGCGUGGGGGAUCAUCACCCGCAAAGAUAAAAAGGCCAUUGCCCGCUGUGCUACCACCAGAUAUUCUCCCCUAUCGUCCACCAAUCAAUCGGAGUUGUUUGCCUAUAUACCGAAAAAAUUGGCGUCGUACUGUCACUUAGUAGUAGUGGCAAUGGCACCGUUGUCACGUCCAACUCCUCCAAACUUUUAUUAUCGGAAAAAAUACGGUACGUAUGACAUCGUAAACUCGUUGAUCGAUCUGCAGUUGGGUGUAGAAGAUCCGAGCUAUCUUUUGGCUCCCAAUGGCUGGCAAUCUCUGAUCUGAUCUGGGGGCUGAGCUGAGAGCUGAUCUGAUCCCCGCUUUGGCCAUUGAUUUGUGUGCAAAAAGGAUCAGAAAACCGGCGUACUACUACCAGCACCAGCAGUGCACCAGUGAAUGGUGGCGCGCCCACUAUUGGGAGCCGCGAUUUGCAUCGUCUCUCUCUCUCUCUCUCUCGUCUUCCCCCGAUAUAUACCCUACUCUCCCUCCCCUCACGUGAACGCCCCGACCCCCCUUUUUUGCCGAUCGAGCAUUUGCAGAGAUCUCAGCAGUUGUGCCCUUGUGACAUUCACCAUCCUCCCUCUCCCUCUCUCUCUGAACCCAAGGCACGCACACAUGCAAACGCAAUGUAGCCACUGCGUCGGCGAGGGACCACGCCACGCACGCACGACCACCAUUGGUCACCCAGAUGCAGCUGGUGAAAAUCGUUGUAAAAAAAUCACUCCUCCUAAUAAUAAUAAUAAUAAUAAACUGUUUCACUCCUUGUAUACAGGCCUUCUGAUAGGCACGAAAGCAACUUCACCAGAAGAAACUCAUCAGGAAAACAUAGCAGAGAGGAGAACUGUUUCUUUUUUGCGCCGGGGUGAGGUGACGUCUACACUUUGGCAGGUCCCAUUUGGACAUGCGCCCAACACUUGCCGUUUUGUAAAAAAUCGCAGUAGCCAAUCGGUUCAGGCUCUCGAGUCCAAAGCUCAAGAGAAAAACUCUGGCUCUCGUCCGGUCGUUUUCGAGGGAACGGGCUUCGACCGGCCGUCCCGGAGAGUUACGGGACGCUGGGUUUUCUUUAAUAAUUUCUUUAGUGUGUGUAACGUGACACCAUAAUUGUAAUGGCAACGAGCGCGACAGGGCUUGGUCGUUUGAUCGGUUCGCCAAUCCAUGUCUCUCCAAAGCCAUGUUACCAUCAGAGCAGAAAUAAUGCCCAUUGAUUAAGAGAUAUACAGUGCUAAAAAUACUAUAACGUCUCAGUUCUAAUCAUGAUCGGCAAUUUGACCUGUCUAUGUAAAUACUCCGUAAAAUUUCUGUGGCAAGUCGCUACUAGAUUUUUUACACAAGUUGACGGUUUGACACAUCAUCGACCUCCUGGUGCUUGUUGCCAAAACGGAGAUCAGAAGCAGCAACGCUUUUGGUGCCCUUUUUUAUACGAGUACUACUACCACUGCAUCCUUUCCCUACCCUUUUUCCUUGUUUCUAUUCCAUUGGGACUUUGCCUUCAGCUUUCGCAUCCAGCUUGCCAACUUCGUACUACUACUGGCCAGUGGCCACUACCCACUUCGAUGCAAGGUGAAAGACGCAACAAAAAGCAUGCAGAGGCGAGGCGCUUGUACGGGAGGGCAACCCCCUCGUCAUCGUUAGCUCGCAGAAUUGCUUCUGUUGCCAGCGCUCGCGUGUGCGUGCGAGCCUGUGUGCCACCGUGCCUAUCCAUCCAAUUCCAAACCCCGGUUUGAGAUGGUCUUUGCUUAUCGCCCAGAUCACACAGGAGUUUUGGUGAUAUACAAUCGUGUUGAAUUGGAGACGACUUCACAUAAAAAAGGACGCUUUGGAAUCUGUGGGUCUUCGUGGAGUAGUAGGCUACUAUUUCAAGCUAAGUCAAGCUUGGAGGGAAAAAGUGUGUUUUAUUUAUUUCACGUUUGGUGUUUUUCGUGUUUGGUGUUACAUGUACGAACGUAGCACGUCCAAGAACCAAGUAAAGGCUUAAGAAAAAAGGGUGCCAAGAUCAAAAGGCUUUUGUUUUGACAGAAUCAGAGGAUAGCAAGUGAUGUCUUGUCCGGUCGGGCUUGGCUUUGUGUUGGUUCCACAUACUAACACCGUAGUACCACCACCACCCAGCGAGCAUCAUCCGUUCGGUCCCGUCAGCUUUGUUGGCUUCAGCGAGUGAGCGAGCGAGGCCGUCUAAAGGUGUUUUUAAGAAUUUUUUAUAGUUAUAGCAUGUCCUACAAAUGAAAGUUUUUCUAAAUAAUUUAGUUUUUCAUUCAGAUGCUAAAAUAUAUAGUCACAAAAUCUAAAAACGAACUAGAAGUAGGAUUCUCGGUUUAUUAGUUUCUCCAUAUUCUUAAAACUAGCUGCCAGUGCCAACCAUAUCUUUCUCACAAUUUGAAGCCCAUCGAACAAGACCUAAGAACCUAACACCACCACGCCGCAAACGAUUCAUCAAGACAGAUGAAAAAACUCAACCUGAUAAUAUAAUAAGAAAAUAAUAUAACAAUCUAUUCGUUACCAUUAUGUGAAAAUCACAGAGAUUAAAAAUACCAUCAUAUACGUUGCUGAUAGGUGGAUUCAAAGCCCCACAUAUCGUUUCCACGUACGAUUGUAUUUUACACCUCACACGUAUCUCUAUUUUCCAUUGACCGUCUACGACGGGUAUGUGAUCACUGGCCGGGCGUCCGGUCCCGCGCCGCGAGCACCACGAUCCGGACGAGGCCGACGCGCUCGCGGGGUAAAGCGUAAAAAAAAAAAACCUCGUCGUUGUCGCGGCCAUGUGCGGCGCGCGCGAGCCGGCGCUGUCGCGACGAGGCGCCAUGCACCCGGACGCGGACUACACGGGGCGUGGGUGGAGCCGAGCUAGACCCAGCCGAGGGUUGUUUGAGUGUAGUGUGUGAGCUGUUGCGGUUGACGGCGAUCUGCCUGUGGCUGUGGCUGUGCGUGUGUGUGCGCGCGCCACGGCCUAUGCUGGAUCUAGGCGCACGGCCCGGUCGGCCAGGGCGUACGUUAAUUUGCACGGUGCGCCACAGGGGUUUGGGGUUGAGACGACCGAUCGUCGUCCGGUGCGUGUGUGUGCCGGUUUUCGUCUACAUUAGGUGGUCCAGUCCGGUGCUCGAUCAAAUCGAGCGUUGAAACGUACUACACGACCGGUCACACAGGAUUCCGAUGAAAUAAAUACUACUCCCUCCGUCCCAAGAAUAUAUAGAGUUUAAAGUUGAACACGGUAUUAAGGAGGUACGUUGAAUUAAAUAGCAAAGAGAUUAUGAUUAAUUGAGAAGUGGAGGUAUGUGGGAAAAGUGAAUGGGGGAGGGUUAUGAUUAGUUGGGAAGAGAAUGUUGGUGAAAAAAUUAUUAUAUUUUGAGAUAAAUUUUAAGUGCAAAAAAUUAGUAUAUUUUGGGACGGAGGGAGUAUCUAAAUCUUACGUGGUUAAGGGAAGGGAAGCACCGAAGACCAAUGAUGUGAUAUGCUGUGGAGUCGUGGGCACAUAAUGUUAUUCAUGGUUCUAAUAGUCGGAGUUUAUACAAUGCCGACGGAGACCAGCCGUUUUUUGCAAAAACUCGUCAUGGUUUUGAGGGGGAUUUUGAAUUAUUUUUUAGUAGGUCAAAUUUGAUACAGUAAAUUUGGUCAAAUUUUCCAAUUUUGAUAUUUUGCUAGGUUCGACCAUCGACGGUAAUAUAAACCCAACUACCGUCUAGAGAUAUUAUACAUACAUAUGUAUUUUCAAAUAGAAAUCAAUAAGGUCAAGGAUUUGCCAUUGUUAUCGAUCUCUUCGAGGUGGUUACACAGUGUUUCAGAUUUGUUAGGGCAACAACAAUAUAUAUAGCAAAGUAGUCUAUAUAGAUGGGACCCACACAUAUGGACUAUAACUAUUGUUAUCUUCACAAUGUAUAUAGAUAGCAACUAGUAUUAAGAGGAGAGAGGAAAUAGAGAGGAAUACCAUAUUUUAUUCUAUAUGGGCAACCCAUAUGCUUAUGGGUGGCUUUUGCUAUUUUCUUACUAUGGAUUAGUUUCACAGUGUUGUUAGGUGGCUGAAUGGAAUAUUUUAUUGCUUAUAGACUAUUUUUAGACUACAUUGUGGAUGCCCUAAGUAAUGUUCGAGGGAGUAUAUUAGAAGUCGUUUUGUGUAGGUGUGAAAAAAAAAAGACGCGGAUAUUAUGAAAUGAUCUAAUAUCAAAUAAAUAAUUAGAAGAUGUGAGACUUCAAACACAGAUCGUCUAACCCACCGUCUUAUAGAGCUAAACAGAAGACCUCUGGACGUUUCUCCUUGUGUGGGUGUGUAAUCCGGAUACACAUGUACGCUAUUUUUAUAAACUGGAAUUCACCUUUGUAAUUAACCGUAUGUCAACGUCUUUCUGCAUGACGAUAAGAUCUUCUGGUUGUAUGGAGAUUACGUUAAGGUCAAGUGCUAGCUAGCAAUGAAAAAAGAUAGUUAAUGGGUCCAAUUGUAGUAAAGAAGGGUCUAAUUAUAGUAGAUUAAAAGGCACAUCGAAAGCAAUCUUUGUACGGAGAAACUUAAUUAUAGUAUUUGGUGUUGUCGGCCCAAGGACGCGUGGGGCUACAGGCAGGCAUGCUUAACUCUACAGGGACUAAGACCGAACAAACAGUUAAUUAUUGGCUAAUUGGAACGUGGGCAGCUUAAUCUCACGAAGUUUAUAAUUUUUUAAAUUUAAUAAUCACUUUUAUAUACGUAUAAGUUGCAUACAAUUAAUUAUUCCUGCUCUCACAACCAACACAAAACAUGAGAACCACAAGCUUUUUUCCAUGCUCGUGAUAAUUAACAAUAAGUGAUAUUGAGACAAGUCUAAUCUGAUUGAGGAGUCUAUCCAGCAGCUACAGCUAAGCUACGCUAUAGCUACACGACUAGCAGAGGGAAUCGAAACUGUGGAUCUGGACGUGAGAGGCUCACUUCGCAAUAACUCGCCACUGUUUAAUCCUAGCUCCUGACGGAGAACGCGGCACUGUUUGUGCAUUGUUUCGGCUAAGCAUAUCAACGAUUUAUUUUGUUAUAAACGGAGCAAAAAUAAGGUGAUAUACAGUAUUAUGAAUCGGACUGAUAGAUGAGAGAUCAGAGAGAGCAGGAAGCAGUAGCAGGCAACUUUGAUUGAGACUGGGCAAGUAACCAUACGAUUGUUUUUCGUUUGCUUUUGCUCUUUAGGGCAGGGAGGUGACCAGCCUAGAUACUAGAGUGAGGCUCCAAGAUGAUCACGAAGAGAAUACUUCAUUAUCAACUACUGUUUCCUUAUCCACUUUAUCAUCUGAACAAUCACAACCAUUUCUCAUCUUAACCUUGAUUUUCGCUAAAACUUUCAGAAAUACUUGUAGGGAAUUUCUUACAUGUGACUUAAGUUUUCACUGACCUUCCUUUUAUACAUAUGGCAAUAAGACCUCUUUGUCGAGCUAAUCUCAAGAUUAAGGGGCGCAUGUUUGGUUUGUAGAUCAACCCAACCAAACUUUAAAAAAAAAUGGUGAAGCCAAAAAAAUAACUACUAUCUAUUUUAGUUUUGAGAAACAAUUACUAUCUAUUUACCUGAUCGAAUUGCCAAAUUAUUUUACUUAAUUGAAUUGAGGCAGCAGAAACACAUACACACACAAAAAAAAUAUGCAACUUUCAUGUUCUUAGCAAAGUUCAGAAGUGGCAAGGAACAAAAUAGUCUCCUUUAAAACAAGAGAAUUUUAGAGAGAUUUUAUAGGAAGAGAAGCAAUAUCUGUAAAAUUCCUGCAUUGUAAAGAAGCCCAUCAAAUACUCCUACCAAUUUGAGCUUAUCUAGAAGGCAUUCUAGAUUGCGUGAGCUUGACCUAUUGACAACUUGAUUGGUGUAUGCUUAAAAAUAAAAACUCAUCAGCUUAGUCAACCAUCUGAUAACGAAUGGCACUGUACUACCGUACCAUACACCGUAUACAAAUAUAAUGUCAAUACAUUGCAUAAGAAGCUAUGGAAAUGUGGGAUUUCAACGAGAGAAGUAAUCAAACCCCCGUUACAAAUGCCAGGCACGUACUGUGUUCCUCCUUCAAGGUUCCCAACCUCACAUGGCUCGUUUUUCAAGCGCACACUUUCCAAGCUGCUAAACAGUGUGUUUUUAAAAAAAUUUAUAUACAAAAGUUGCUGUAAAGAACUAUAUUAAUUUAUUUUUAAAUAAAGCUAAUACUUAGUUAGUCAUGCGUUAAUUAGUUAUUCCAUUUUACUUAGGAAGGAGAGAGGUUUCCAACCCUCCAAAUGAACGGAAAUUGCUGUACAUACGAUUUUUUCUUACGAUCUUAGUACGAUAACGGCGCGAACACACGGCGCAUGCGCACGCGGCAGUCAAGAGCCCUCAUGGGCUAAGAGAGAACGUUUCAUCGUAUAAACAUCGUAAAAAUAAUCGUACGUAUAGCAGCACUCCAAAUGAACACAAUACGUGUCUGUCCCACGGCUCCCACCGUUACAACUCAUCUCUGAUCUGGUUAAUCUUUCCCCCAAAAAAAAAAAGUUGCAGUCAGGCAGGAGCAGCAAUGCAUUUGAUCUGGGGUCCCCCGGUCUCUGCAAAGCAAAAGAAAACCCAGCACCACAUGCAUGCGCUGGUGCUUGUGAGCAAGCGAGUGAGUGAUCGACACUGGUCGCAUUGCAUGCAUGCACCCCCAAAACAUGAGGCUGUUUAGAUCUAGCAGCAGAAAGGCAACCGCAGCAGCGAGCCAGCGAGCGAGCGAGCAACGCGAAGCUUGUCGCAAGAUGGUCCUCCUUCCUGCUACUCAUCUCUCUUCUCUCCUGCAAGGCUGCAACGCAACUUCCAAGGCUUAAUGGCGAUGGUCAGUCACACACCGAGGAAAAUGAAAAGCUUUGCAGUGCAGAGCAGGUAGUUGAUGCGCAAAGAGGAGUGAGUUCAGGAUCGGUUCUCUUGAAAGUUCAGUUCAGGAUCGAUCGAUCGAUUGUCACAUGAAGAACGAUAACAAAAGUAAUAAUAAUAAUGGAGACUCCCUCUGCAGGUGGUAGACCCGAAAAUAAUACAGGGCCCAUGGAGCCUACUGGGUACACGGAUGAAUAAUACAACCACGCAUCACAUGGGUAGAGAUGGAGAGAUUAGACGGGGAGAAUUCGCAUUAUGAAAAGAUCUACCCCAAUCGCUAGCUUAGCCCUCUUGUUAAUUAGUGCCGCUCUAACCUAAUCGACAGGAAAUACUAGUCAUUAGUCAAAUGGCACACCAUACACGUACACUAACCACCCAACAACGCAAAAUAUUGAUGCGUCGGCUGUUACAUUGCAGAUGCAAGAUCGAUCGGUUCAUCGAUGGGUUGCUCUGCUGCUGGCGAUCAGGGUGGAUCUACGAUGUUAGCAUCGGUAUCAGGUAAUUCCGACGAUUUUUGGCACCUAUGGUUAAAAUGCUUAUUCUUAUAUUAUAACACAUAAAUAUAAGUAUAACUAGAAUGCUAUGAUAUCUAUAGACACAUCAUGAUAUCAGUGAACCAGAUCCGUCGUUGCUGGCGAUGCGGAUGAGCAGGUGGUGUGGUUCACUCACGCGGUUGUCAUUCUCUCGCGCCACGUCUGAGCUGUGGUGGUGUGGCGUGGCACGCGAUUCUGUUUCGCCGGCAAUGGUCCCGGUCUGCGGCCUGAGCCCGGGGGGAUCGAUCGGAUUGAAAGCUAAAAAGCGCUGAAAAGAGGAGCCGUACCUAACCGCCACCGCGGAGCCUUACGUACGUACUCCACUCCGCGGAGUACACACGCACACGCAUCUGUUGCUGUUGCUGUUGUUUUGGUUUAGCCUCGUGCCGUCAUGAUGCGUGGCAACGAAGCGGCUGGGUCGGCGGGCGGCGGCGGCGGUGCGGCUCGCGUGAUCCUCUCUCUCGCCGUGCCGCCGCGGCCUCCGGUCUCCGCGAGGCCACGACGCGGUCGUCCUGGAAAACCAAGGGCUUUUGUUCGAAAUGAUGCCAAAUUACACCCUAUUAAAAUUUUAGGAACUUCGGUAGUUUUAAGCUGUAUUCGUUUGGGAUGGUUGGGAACCAAACUCCCCGCAUGGAAAACGGAGCAAUCUAUUAGCAUGUGAUUAAUUAAGUAUUAACUAUUUUUUUUUCAAAAAUAGAACAAUAUGAUCUUUUUAAACAACUUUCAUAUAGAAACUUUUUUGCAAAAAAACGCACCAAAAUAGUAGUUUGAAAAGCAUGCGCGCGAAAAAUGAGAAGGAGAGUUGGGAACAAGGGGAAACAAACUUAAUGUGCCAUAUAAAGUGUUUGAUUUGCUACCGAUUUAUAUGUUUGCUAAUAUAGUACCAAAUUUGAUAACACCAAAACCUUUGGCACUGCCAAAAUAUUUGGUAGGAUAAAAAUCGGCACUAAACCAAACAAGUCCUAAAACCUCGGGUUGUCUCCUUUUAGGCGUGGCAUAGAUAUGAAUUAUCCCUGUCACGUUUUUAGAAGUAGGAUUUCUCAAAAAUAUUCGUCUGUAACAGCGGUUAUAUAGCCUUUUUCUAAGGUAUGCAAACUUUAGAAUAUUUGAUUCAUCCUUUUCUUUUCUCUAUCCAAAAUCUAUCAAAUUAUUCAGUUAGAACGCGACGCGACCUAAAAUGGGGAUAAGUCUCUGGCUUCGUUCGCAACAGAUGAAUUUACCCCCCCAAAAAAAAACGAUGCAUGCACCCGUGGAAGUGUGUCUGUCGACUUUUUUAAUCCUUAACCUGCUCGUGCGCAAGAUGGGGAUGGAUCACGAAUCGGGAAUGGAUGUUUUACCUUUUCCCUGAAACUUUUCCAUCUCCAGCACCGCGAAAUUCGGUUUAGAUUAGAGUUGAACGAUCACACUGAAGGCUGUAGUGGAAGCCAGGUCAAAGGGAGAGCUCCCCCGUGCAGCUGGGGGCCGGCCGGCUUGACUUUCACUUGCAAUGAUGGGGACACGCACUCGGCGGCAUCAGCCGCUCCGGCCGGCCACGUCGCCGGCGCCGCCGUGCAGCCUUGCCCGUGUCGCCCCGUUCCGGUCAAACCAGCAGCUGUUCUCCUCGCCAUUCAUUGCUAUUUUUUAUUACCACCUGGUCCCGGAAUUAUUAUGCACUAAUGCACCUGACCACACGCUUGUUGAAACUGCCUGAGACAGGUCAUAGAGUCAUAUAGAGAACAAAGAUCUGGGUGGUGAAAUUCUGCACUGGGUCCGGCUCUAAUUCUUGAACAGAUCAUGGCAUCUGAAUGGCCAGGUUUGCAUCGAGGAGAUUGGAGAAUCUUAAGGUGUAUAGUAGUAUACUUUCUGAGCUACUCCUAACUGGUUAGUGGCAUGGUGGUUGCUACUGGAACAAACAUAGCCUGAUAGCCAAUGACCUGCCUAGCCUAAAAACUAGUCAUCCUGUACUGGAUCCAGAACUGACCCAACAAACCUGAGCCUAACUUGAGCAAUCAAUGUAUCGCACCCAUUUAUUAGAGCCAGAAAAUAGCCCCAGGCCCAGUGGCACGUCCAUGCACAGGAACGGUCCCGUGCUUAAGCAAUCCGGCGCUAGAUUAGGCACACAUCACUGACGCAGACAUCUUCAAACACAGGAAGUUCUAGUGACAGCAACUCGCGAACAACCAAAACCGAAAGAAAAGUCCGAAAGGUUCGGCUGAAUAUAUACUAGUUUAGCCAGCUAAGCAAUUGGGCGUCAGCACAUGGCUGCCUAACAGCCUCUCCGCGAGUGACCUCACGGGAGGAAGCCGUUCAGUACGAGCCCUGAAAGCUGCAGUUCAGAGUGGGAAAGAUGUGCACAGCGUACAGGUGAUCAUGGCAAAAAGUUUUCAACAGGAAAAAUAUGGGUGCCUCAACAAAUAAUUGCCAAAACCGAUAUUAUACAUGGAAGUGGGCCAAGAACACCACUAGAGCAUAUUUAAAGGCAUUGUUUACUAUGAUCAACUCCCAAAAUUCUGUUUUCGAUUCCACUUUUCCAAAACUUGGGGGGUAACAACUAAUUGAAAACACAGAUGAUAGACAGUUCUAUCGCCAGUAGCAACGGUAGUUAGUACCUUAUGAACUUGGAUAGCAGCAUCAAUCGGUGGCACUCAGGUACCUUCUUUUUCACCCCCCAGGCAUGCAGAACUUGAGUAUCUUUAUGCAGAAAAAAAAUCCAACAGCCCAGUAUUUACGGAAAUAGCUUCUUUAACCUAUUGAUGGCCACACCAGCUGUCUUGUUCAUGGGUUCUAGAACAAGGGCGUGGCUGAAAUCUGCAAAUUGUAGUAAAAUGGAUACACAAUAAGAACUUGUACAAAAUAGUGGACACAGUUUGCAGAUUCCAAGGGAGACCUGUUAAUGGUUAAUACUGUGAAAUACUGGUAAGGUAUACAGAGGAAGAAAGGUAAGACGGACCAUCAACAGCCUCCUUGUAGUAACCCAGCAUCUCCCUUGCAGUGCCUCUCCUCAAAUAAGCUUUUACAAUCUGAAAAAAUAAAAAGAUCGAUGUGAAUUCUCACAUCAAUGUAUAUAAAACACUACUCAAUGAAUUGCGAAAAGGAUCACACUUAUCAGAAUCUCAACUAGAUGUGAAAGCACCUACUAAAAAACUUAUAAACAGCACUGCAUUAAUCAGAAACAGCCCAAAUUCUUUGGAUGGUUGAUUCAAUGACAGAACCAGCUCAUCAUAAAGUAGGAAAUAUAGCAUUUCGAGAAAAGAAUUGGAAGAAUUGUCCUAUAUCUUGUACUUCCCCUUUUGUUUCAUUAUCAAUAAUAACAUCUUAAUAGUAGAAUAAUAUAUACAAAUCUGAAUGUGCGUAUAAAAGUCUGAACCAAGAAAGCAGAUCCUAACCUUUGGAUCAAUAUCGAUGGCACUUGUGCAAUCUGCCUCAGCUUGGCGGUAACUGAAAGGGGUCCGAAAAGACAAACCAUGAAAUAAUUGAUGCGCGAAAAAAAUAAGUUACAGAAGCCAGCUCAUCAAGGUAAUCUUUGAGAAAAAAGAUGCCAUAGAGGUUAAUAACAUACCUAGCUAGCUCUAGAAAAGCAGCAGCUCUGUUGCUGUAGUAUGUAGCCACUUUAUUAUUUAAUUUGAUUGCUUCAGUAUAGAAAUUUAUUGCCUUUUGCCAUUGUUUCUCCUUAAAUGCAAUGUUACCCUGUCAAGGAACAAGUAACAGAAAGAAAAACUCAGUAAGGACACAAAAAAGGGAAGAUAUUAAUGUAAUAAAUCCAUAAUGGUGGCUUUGUUUUUUACUUCAACAGUGGUUCAAAAGAACAACUUGAACAUAAUUUUGGGCCAUUACAAAUAGUUUUACUGCACUAUUAGACCUACUGGUUGGUACUGAUCUGUAUACAUUACUAUUAGAUCUGUACCAGUGAGUAUACUCUGACAUACUGAUUUCUAGGUUAUUACUAUUAGACAACCUUUUUUUCUCUUUUCCUUUAACAUGACAAAUUAUAAGAUGUAACACCUAAAAACUGGCAUGUAUCGACUAGUGCAUUAUCAUUAGCCUUUUUCUUCAAUUUCCAUCUAGAUGGCAAGCUAAGUGCUACUACGGAAAGUAGUAACUGUGUUGAGCAGAUGUUAGAAAAUCGAAAGCUAUGCUAAAAAAAAAUCAUCAAAAUAAGAAAGGAACUGACUUUCUCUUUAGCAGCUUCAGCAGCUUCUUCACUCAUCGCCUGUUUACUCGAGACAUUAGACUUUGCUAGAGCGUCAACUUGCUCUUGGAUGGUAGCAUAAAUUGUUUGAAUGGUGUCCAAUAAAAAUCGAUCACCACCAUGCCUUGCAAUCAAAGAAACUGAAACUGGACACUUAUCAUGUGUACCCAGAGGAACCGUCACCUGAAAAGGGUCAUCAAAAUAGUUGAAUUAGUUAAGAUGCAAUAAGGGUUUACCAGAAAAGCAUGCAAGUCCAUGUGCAAUGAAGCUAAAGCUAGCCUUAUCAGAUUCAUGCCCUCCCAAACAUUCGCCUGUAUCCAUCUCAGGCCAAAACAUAACCACGGAGAGUUUGCUCCUCCAGAAUCAGGAGCGAAAUAUCACCACAAAAUCAUCAAUUGAAGUCAGAUAAAAACUAGCAAUUUUCAACUUUCAUGGUUAGCUAUCAGCAAUGUUAACUUAUUCAUAUGCUAUCAUUCUGUGUUAUUCAUGUGUCUUAACCAUGUUAGUGCCUUAGGCUGCAGCAAUUUCGAAAUUAUUUUUGCAAGUCUAGUCACUUCACUGGCUAUGUUGGAACUGCCCUUGUACUAAUGAUGAAACUUGCAUGCAGAGCUUUAGAAACUCGAUUGUAUUGAUGCCCAGCGAAAUUGCAAUUAAAGUUGCCCAAUAAAAGCAUACUAUUGCUGACUUUAAGAGGCAUGUAAAUUUUGUAGAGUUUAUGUUGUUGUUUGUUAACUUCCAUGAAAGUUUCACCCGUCUAAAAUGCCAAAUGGAUCCAAAGAGUUGCAAAAUUAAGCAGCACAACUUCCAUUGGAGGAAAAGAAAGAACAGGAUUAUAUGUUAGCAACAUAACCUUUGAAUAGCAUAUGAAUUGUACUAUCAUACCUGGCAACACCCUGACAUGCUAGCUAAAGAUGUAAGACAUGAUGUCUGAACAUUGUAGUCCUGAGAUGAAAGUUCCCUGGCAUUUAGUUUUGGGGGGCAUCCCAGAACAGUUGGAAUGACCAGAAUUCCAUCAUCCUGUGGAUUAAGAAACAUCAUGACAAAGAAACUAACAGUAUGAUAACACUAAAUAAGAUUAUCACAGCACAUUCAACGACAUGUUAACGAAAUAGCAUCAUAAAAUAAGUAAUCAGUACAAUACCAACAAAUAAGAUUAUCGCAGCACAUCCAAUGGCAUGUAAAGAUUAUGAAUCAGAAACAAGAGCAGUUCAGGAAAACUAUCACCACAUAACAUGGAUCCUCAGGUAGACACUUUUACUCUAAGCCUUUCUGUUUCACAAAGAAAGUUCUCAAAUGUAUACUUCAGGCUAACAGUACAGUACUAAAAGUAAAUGAACCACUAUUUUCAUUUCCAGAAGAAGCUUUGUAACUGGGCCCAACAUUGUGUUAACUGCUAAGUAAUUGGUUCAAAACAAUAAUAUAGCGAAGGAAACAAGAGCAACAUGAAAUAUCACUGAUGAAAAUAACAUAUCCAAGUUCACGGUUGCAGAAAUAUGUUAAAUAUUUCAAUUUGUCCAUAUAUUCAAUUGAUUCUAGAUUUCAUCCACUUGUUUUCAAACAACAUAAAUUUCAAGGAAAUGACAUUUGUAAAACCUAAAAAGCAUUAGAUAUGCUUUCCAUCUAUCGUUCAGAGGAAUAAUAAUAUGUUUUUCAAUAACAUUUAUCCAAUAAAACCAGCAAAACUAUCAGUGAUGGCCAACUAAGUGUGUUGAGAAAUCAGUCAGAAGAUCAAACAAGCAGUUCCUGACAAUGUAGGUACUCGCUACUGAAAUCUCGCUAAAUUCCAGUUCAUCCCAAACUCAAUUCUUUACCAACCUUAAGAAGAGCACCGAGAGCUGCACGGACUUCUUUCCUUGCAUCUUGACUGUUAUUGAUAGUUGACUCACCAUCAUCAGACAAAUUACCAACUAUGCAUGCAUCAACAGCAGGCUUAACAGAGUUUAUCCACUCCAUAUGUUGAUCUUUGAAUUCAUGUCUGGACCGAAUAACAUGAUACUAUUAAUUUUUUUGGCACGAGUUAAAUAGAAUACACCAAAUAGAACAAACAGACACGAGAAAAAUUAUCAGUUUAAUUAUUAAAAAAAACAAGCCAUGUAUAUAAACAACAGAGUUUGUCUAGUAUGACUUCUAAAAUUAGAAAACCUAAGCCAAAGCCAAAGUAAGACCACAUAAUAGAGCAUGGAAUGUGUUCUUUGUUUGCAAAUGCCAAAGCUUGCAGUAGCUAAGGGAAAAAAAACAGCUAUUCCAAUUAUUAAUUAUCGUGAUCUGAAAAUAGAUAUGUAGGAGGGAAAUAAUCUACAUGCAAGCAACGAGGGAAAUAAUCUACAUGCAAGCAACCUACGGAAGUAUGUAGUUCAAGUCAACUAACAUCAUUGUUUCAUAAACCUGUGAACAUCAUCAGUUUCCACAUAAAUAACUAUACAGGCUAGAACUCACAGAGGAAAUUUAAUACUACCAUAUUUUAUAUGUAACCAGUAGUUACUUAUUUAUUUAAUAACAUGAUCAUGUAGGGCAGGAGCAUACUUGUGAAGAAACUGCAUAGCCCUAGAAAGUGCUAGCAAUGAAGAAAACUUUGAGUCACCAUGACCAUUUGAAUUGUUCCUCAGGCUGGGUAUUCUUGAAGCCAAAUAAUUUUCAAGAUUAACAUGACCCAGGACUUGUCCUAAUGUAAUACGCAAGGGAAAAAAAUCAACAUGAGGAAGUUGGUGGCCAGCAAAAACUAAGGGAAUUUUAAAAUAAGAAUGACAAGUGUAAAGAGGAGAUACAUACUCCCAAAUAGCUUUUCCACAGAUUUCGUCACCACCUGAGUCAAUCUUCUUGCAUGCACCUUUGACAUUUCAAAGCAAUCAUCUGCUAUGUAGAAAUGUCUGGGUUGUCGAAUAUCAGCGUAGGGUAGCCUCAGAAGGAGAUGGCCAACACGACGCAGUACACUUGGAUCCCUCGCAAACCAACCUACAGACAAAUUAAUUAAAAAUAAAUGGGGCACGGCAAGUUUACAAAUUUGAAUUAAGAGUGAUUCUGGAAGAGAUUACAAGUCAAUACAUAUUUUGUUCUUUAAAAGAAAUAUAUUUUCAAAGGUACCUAUGGCAUCCAGGCUAGGAGCGACAGGAAUAACACCAUUGUUGGGGACAACAGCAUGUGAAGGCCGGAAUGCCAAGACGCCACAAUAACUACCUGGUACCCUUACUCCUCCAAUGGUAUCAAUACCUGCAGAAUCACAUUCUCAGCACAUUAUUUAUCUAUUAAAGUAUAUAUGACCCAUGCACACAAGACCUUAUGGUUCCACAACUGUCACAAAGAGGAUGUAUUAAUUUUGGAAACCAGUGAAAUCAUGGACAGGCACCAAAGAAAUUUCAAGUCAAUGCCUGACCCUAAACAUAGAAUUGUUUUGGAUCCUCUACAGUCGCAAUGAAGGUUAACAUCUAAUGGAGGGAAGUCAGAUGGAUCAGACUUGGUAGAAUGAUGCAAUGUAAAGGAAGGCAGUCACAUCAGAACAACUUCUUUUCUUGAGAUGCACAUAAUAGUAAACCAGGAAAAUGGAUUGAAAAAAAAAAUCAUACAUCAACCCUAAAACUGACAAUUGUCAAUUGUCAAUCCUGAAAUCCAGAUAAUCACUACCACACAUAAACAACUAGUGAAGUAAUUCAAAUGUACAGGAAAUUCAGAUUUAUACUAAGCUCUGAUACUAAAGGAUGAGGAGAAAGUGGCAUUAAACAAAAUGUUGCCCAAAUAAGGACAGCAUGUUGCACGCAUAAAUCUCUAGACAAUGAAUUAAAAUAGUCAGCUCACCUAAGGAAAAAUCUACAAUGCCAGCAGCAACAGCAACAGCUGACCCACUUGAACAUCCUCCAGGUACUCGAUCUGGAGCAGCAGGAUUUGUUGGUGUGCCAAAAUGUUUAUUCUCACCAUGGAUACUGCACGUGUAUUGCACAAUAAGUAAGAUGUAAGCACACAUUAGACAAGUGAAUUAUGGCAAACUAAUCUUAUAAAAUGUAGAGAACAUUUCUGCUUUUGUGAUAUUUCAUAAAAUGAAAUAGAACAUGGAAGGGUUUAGUGAACCCAUAUGCAGAAAGAAAAAAUGGUUUUACCUAAAUGCCAUUUCAUCAAUAACAGUUUUUCCAACACACAUAGCACCACCAUCUACAAGAGAUGAAACGACUAGAGAUGUUUGUGUUGCUGCAUCAUGUGUCUUUGCCCAUUCUAAGCUGCCAAAACUUGUUAUAUAACCAGUUACGUGGAAUCUGCAAAUAAUCAAAACAAGACAUCUGAGGUCAAGGAUAAAUAAAAUGAUGUACACGACGAAUGUUAACACCAAAUUGAUAAUACCGGUCUGCCCCUUCACAGUGCUGGGAACAAGUUAAGUACAAAAAUGAAAAGGUGCAACAGCAUUUUGUGGCCAAUAGUGCGCAAAUUUAAGAAACACACUUUGCCAUUUUUGGCACUAAAAAAGAAUUGUCAUGCAGGCAUGCACAGUUUUAGAUAAAUACAUACAUAGCUGCUGCGGAUCAAAUGUCCAUUUGGAUAAUUUGUGUAACCUAAAAUUUGUGCCAGUAGUUGGGUUGCAGAAAAUAGCAUUUUCUCCAUGAAGCAGAUAUGCCCACAAUACAAUUUUCAGGUCCUAAAAUAAUUAAGUUCAGAUUGGUAUCUAUUAGCAAGUAUCUAUUAAAUUUAUAAGGAUAUAAGAGCCUCAGAGGAGAACUAAGUUCACUUCAGAAGAAGUAGUGGUAUCUUGACCCAGAGAAAAUACCUUAUUCCAGUUUUAGUGUUAGAAUAUGCACUGAACUGUAAAUGCACCUUAAGUAGGUUAAAAACUAAAAGGUUCCAAAAAAAUGUCUGGCUUUGAGUUGAACCAGAUGAGAGCAUAUCCUUAAAAGUUCAAAACUAUGAUAUUAUCUGGUAUUUUAGAACAAGAUAAUUAACCAUAGUGUUUAUAAGUUUGCAUCACAGCUUCAUGACUGUAUGAAUGAUAAGGUUGACAUUCCCCCCCCCCCCCACCCACAACAAUGCUUUCAAAAAAAAAUUUUCACAAUGAAGCAUAGAACAUCUUAUUAUUUCAAAUUUGUAACACCUUGUACCUUUUAUACACAAUAGUGUCUAUUCAUAAAGCUGCAAAUACUUUAGAUGGGUGGUUUCAAUACUCUUCCAACGAUAGUUCAAGAAUUCUUUGGCAAUAGAAAAAAAUACUAUUCUGGUUUCCUUUGAAUGGUUAAGUAAUCAGCAUCUUGAAGCAAAUUAUAGUCCACGUGCUAAAAAACUGUAAUCUCAACUUCAAAGCUAAACUUUAGGAAACAACCAUUUGUCAUGCAAAACUUAAAGCGGAUGGUUUCAUGAAUAAAAGGUAUAAGUAUCUAAUAAUGAUACAUUCAUGUAAGUUUAGAUACAUGCAUGAUACAUUGCCUUGCCAAAGGCGAAGCGGCCACAGGAUGCUAUGCCUUCUUGCAUAAUAAAUUCACCUUACCACAAACCAUGGUACAGUUACUAAGCAAUGUAAUACUAUGGUAGAUCAUUAAGUAAUCGAAUAAACAUUACAUGGCAUUGUUUCCCAUUUCAGUGUCAGCCAAUAAUAUUUGGCAAGUGAUACAUGAAUAUAUCUCAUUUAAAGGGCGUUAUAAUGAACUGUAAGACCAUCUCCACUCUGCAUCUUUUGGACCAAAAUAGUGUGAUGCAAACACACCUAGCUACAAACUACUCGCGUUUUGAAAGCUUUCCAUAUAUGUAAACAAAAGGAUGAUAUAAUUCAGCAAACCCAAUGUGCCAUCUCGAGUAAAUUCGUGCCUCCCUAACUGACCUGAUACCAAUACCCCAAUGAGAAGUAGUGAUACCCUGAUAGCAUGAUCAAACUGAUCAAAUUACCGCUCUUAAACCGGUGCUAGCACGCUCCCAACCAAUCCAAUCAGGGACUACCAACUUCAAAUCACGCAAAAAAAAAAACACAAGCGAGGUCGGGGAGCGCGGAGAGAGCUUACGCGUCGGCGAUGGCGAAGCAGAGCCCCGUGAGUGGGUGUCGCGCCUGGGGGGGCGGCGGCUGCGGCGGGGGGAGGAGCUCGAGGCGGGCGAUGAACGCGCCGUUGUCGGGCCGCGCGGGCCGCCGCAGCCGCUUCGCCGCCAGGAGGACCCCGGCGAUGCCGAGGCCGAGCAGAACCCACAGGUUGGCCGCCGUCGAGGACGCCAUGGGGUCGGGUUGGGGUAGCCGCUCGCCUGCUCCGCGCGGGGGCGAGUGGGGUGGGGGGGAGUUCGAGGGUUAGGGUUUUGCCGCGAGGCGGCGGCGGCGGCCGCGGAGGCGGACGGCGAGGCGGCGGCGGAGGCGGAGGCGUGGCGGAAGGAUUGGAUAAUACCGGGGGUUCGCUGCUGGCUUCGAGGACUUAAAUACGUCUUUGGAAAUGAAAUGAAAGGGAACUAGCUUUUUCUGUGUUUAGAUCUAAAGUUUGAAUCCAAACUUUUAGUCCUUUUCUAUCACAUUAACCUAUCAUACACACAUAAUUUUUCAGUGAUAUUAUCUCUAAUUUCAAUCAAAAUCUAAACUUUUGCGUUGAACUAAACACAGCCUUUAUCAAAUGGGUUAUCAAAGGAAUUUGUCUCUCUCUUUUUUAGAGUUUUUUUUUUUGCAGGGCAAACAUAAUUUUUGUCUGGUGGUACAAAUUGAGAACUUGACGGUAUUGUAUCGUGUUUACGUAUGUGUCUAAGUUGCAAAUAAUGUAUUGAAAAGUUGUUACAGCUUGCAAUGUACACUAAAACCUAAGAAUGAAUUAAAAAGCAAAAUCUGCCCUUCAGAAGCUUUUGUCUAAGGUACGUAAGCCGUUGAAAUAUAAGCAAUACAAAAUACUGAACGUAAACCUAAGGCUGCGAAAAAUGGUGUAGACAGUAUUUUUAAUACCGUCAGUUUAUUGUUAUAUAAUUUUCUAUGUGCAAGCAGUACACGGUUCGGUUAUAUGCAGAAUGAACGAUCGUAUAGGGGUCUAAGAAAUUAGGGCAAUUUAGGUUUCAAUCCAAACCAUUGUAUUUUUUAACAUAUUUUUGGUGUUUCUUAGUUCAUUCUCUUUAUCUCCUUCUCUCUUUGUUUAGCUUAAAUGGAUUUAUUUUUCUUGGCCGCAAAAAGUGUUACAUAAUAAUCGUACCGACUCAAAUAUAUGUAUUUUCUGGAAACAUUGUGAAUGUGCAUUUCAAGCAUUGAAGUUUUUUUUUAGAGUGGGUUUUAUAAAACUCCACCAGUUAUGGACAAAGUUGUACAAAACAAAAGGGAUUUUAGCACGUAACUCAUAGCCAUGAAUAUUAUUGCUCAAAAGUUUCACAUGACCACACCAUUAACCAAUUUAACAUACUUCUAUAUCAAAAUUUAAAAAGGCUAUACUUGCAUGGAUAUAACAUCUUUAUGAUGGAUAAAUAAAAACUCAUGAAUUUGAUAUAAUAAAUCUAAAACUCAGAAGUUGUUGACGAGGGAUACUCGUGGACCGGAUGAGUUGAGUAUUGGGGUACGUUGGAACGAGGGUCUACGUAGUACGACAUCACGCAGACAGAAGACAAGGAUUAUACUGAUUCAGACCCCUUAUCAGGUAAUAGCCCUAGUCCAGUUUAUAUGAGAUUGAUGAUGAUGAGAACAAAUUACAAAGAGAAUAGUCGAAACAGAUGGUACCGAUGAGAUCGUAGUCGAGGGAUUCGACGAGAUCUCCCGGCGACUUGGCUCUGUGCACUCUGGCUUCGUAAACUUUAGUGGGUAUGUGGAUGAUGAGAUGCGAUGCCCUUCACCUCCCCCUAGGGGCCCCUUUUAUACCGUGGAAUACCUUGACCCUAAGUAAGACUUAGGGAUACCUUGACCCCAAGUAAGACUUAGGGAUAUGUAAACUGGCACGAUAUAACAAAAGGCUUUACCCCUUCCGAGUAGGACUCCGGCAAUUACUUAACUCAUAGAGAUAUUUUCCAUAAUUUGAGAUAAAUUCCUAACGACGUAUACGAAAACGAUCCGUACACGUGAAGGUAUACCUUAUCGGUAUAUUCUAUAAGUCGUAUGAUAGAUGAUAUGCCUUAUCUGUAACCCUGACAGAAGUAUAUUAGAUCAAAGUUCAAAUGAUCAAUAGUGUGGUUUUAUGAAACAUUAUGACCAUAAUACAUGGGACUAUCCGCAACGUACGAAAAUCCCUAUAGUUUUGUGCAACUUAGACCAUAAUACGCGUGGUUAGGUGAAAUUUACUUUACAAAAGUUCACUUACUAAGUAAAAAUGAACCACCUAGUUAACAUGCAUUUCUUCUUUCCAGUUUCUAUUUAGGCAAAAUGCUUGAGUUCCUACUACAUAGCCAUGCUCAUCUAAUUUGGUAUCAUUGCCAUAGUGAUUAUUUAUAGACAAGCACCAUAUAUGUACCAGUGAGUGCACCCUCUUACCAAACAAUCAAAGGGAAAAAAACAAAUGACAUAUCUCUAACUCGCUAUAACCAUUAACCCCAGCAAUUCACGUAUGUGUAAUAUAAUCCUUUGUGAGGUUGGAAGAGAUGAAGUAGAAGAACUAUGUGAUUUUCACCAUAGGUUUUUUUUUCUAUACCUAGCAAACGUUGAAUAUGAUUGGCCCGUACAAUAAUCAACCCCUUACAUGGCUGGUCGUCGUCAACAAGAUUGCAAAAGAAGUUGCUCUUUGGUGCGCAGUCAGGAGAACCGACACAACAGUGAUAGACUUCACGCCCUAAUACGUCUCUUUCCUUGUUUAGAUUGUCUUUUCUUCCAUCCCGUGAGAUUAUCCCUAGCAUUCUUUCUCUAAGGCCGCUUUGCCGCCAUGACGACACGUACUUAAAACAUUCUAUCUUAAUAUAAAAAUGUGCAUUUCUCUUGCACAUUCGCUUUUAAAUACAUAAUAAAAGUUGAUAGUGGUAUACUUGUUUUUAGAAAAGAAUUAAAUAUUACAUAUUAUAAACCUAACCCAGAUAGCUUGGAACAAUGGGUAUAAGAAGUUUUUGAAGAAAUCAUAUUUUUGAAAAUAAUCUACAAAUAAUUGGCAGCCAAUGAACUAUAAAGAACGGGCCGUAUCUAGUUUCACCAACAAUUGGGCCACGUUGGAUGUAGCUAUUGUUGCCUUUAGGUCAUUCCAAGUGAGAGAUGCCAUUUUCAUAUUUUCAAGGGCGCCAUAUAAGCAAUAAAAUAUUUAAUUGAUGAUUGAAAUAGCUCAUAUAGUAUAUGGUUUUAAACUAUUGGAAACAACAUAGACAUCAUUGCAUCACUUACUUUAUUAAUUCCUUUGCAACAUCAUAAAAAUAUUGACAUGACAUUCUAUUUAAUGACAAAGAAACUCCUAUUGAGAAUAGCACUAGGAGUAAACGAUGGCACCAUUUCUCUUCAGACUCACAUUUACUUCGGUGAAAGUGAAACACCAUUUCCACCUAAAAAUGUAAAUGACAAAAAUCAUAACAUCUGCAACAUUAUACGUGGACUAUUUUUUUCGUACGAAAGUUGUAUCAUUACGUACUAGCCUAGCGGUACUAUUUAUUUGUUAAUAUUCUAGCUAAUUCGAAUGAUUUUCCCCUUUGUCUACACCAAUAGUUCACCAGCGUGAUCACCAAGUUUUCAUCUUCAUCAUUAUAGUUUGAGGGGCCAUGAAUUGAACAACUGUACGUCUAUGUAUUCAUCUCUUAUCAUCAAAUCAGUUGAUAUCAUCACUUAGAUUAAAUUGCUUACUCUUUGGUUUUCGCGUGUUUCCCCAUAUAGAUGUGAGACCAGUACGUCCGGAGUCCUUUCGGCCAAAGUUUUGUAAAUAUUAUCCAUCAUGGGUUUGGAUAUCAAAUGAGCAUUAGCGAUUACAAUGACCAGCUAGCAAUAAGAUCGAGGUUUGUACGGUUGUAUCAAUUCCAUAUAAUCGUAAUUUAAUCAUAAUAUAUCUCAUAUGCCCUCUUGUCAAAAAUAUUUGACUUUUAACACAAGAUUUAGUCAAAAUUUUAAAACUUUUAAAAUUAAUUUUGUGUUAUAAUAAAUUUGUAAAAACCUAUAGAAUUUAUAGUAUCAUGAUAAUACUUUUCAAGACAAAUCUACCUGCACUCUUUGCGUGUUUUCUAAACUUGCCCUCUCUAGUUAUAAAUAUUUGAUGUUUAGGAUAAAAUUCAAUCAAAUUGUUAAAACUAUUACCCCCAAUAAUUUCUCAGGUGCUUAGUUAAAGAAAAUGUAUGUGCAAUUCUGUUUUGAAAUUUAUUACUAGAUUUUACAAACACGAGAUUAUGGUUUCUUUCAAUGGUGGAGAAAUGUUUUUUUACUCCCAGUUGGUAACCCCCGUAGUCCGGUUUUCCAACCAGGACUAAAGAUAAAAAAGUAGCUCUAACCUUUUGAACUCCCCAUUUUUUUUACAACUGGGACCAUUGUGGAAUUUGGUCGACCAUGGCUACCAUGGAUACAACCGUUGCUCACAUCAUGGAUCAAGAAGAACACUUCAAGAUCAAGCCGUCCAAAUUCUGGAAUCCAAUUCGGUCACCUGCUACCGUGCUGAAUUCAAAUGGCCGCCAAAUGUGCAUACGAGCUCCGUUUUGGGUCCGUGAGUACUUGAUGGAAAGCUCUCGGAGUCCUCUUUCCAACGAAUCUAGCCUCGUAUACAAAUUCCAUCUCAUUUGGCUGCAAUCGCAUAAACAAGGUGCUGCGUCACCUAUAUUGGGCCAAUGGGUUUGUAACUUCGUUUGGGACCUUGGCCUAAGUGGGGCCCAUGUGGGGUGCGCCCCAACCAGGUGGAGCACGACCCUAGGCACCACUAUUAAAGUUUAGCUUUGCUACUUUGCCGUGUAAUCCUGUGAUCGGUUAGAUCGCCGGUUUACUCGUUACGUAACCCCAACUUAUCAUUUGUACUCAAUUCCUAUUUGCAAUUCAGAUUGUUUUUAUCUUGUUCUUACUUGUUUCUUCGAUUUGCUUGCAGGAAUAAGGUUGAUUUGCAUCGGCAAGAUCAACAGCCCACGGAGAGGUGUAUUGAUCGCUAAGGCGCAACGCAACGUCUUGUACGGUUGUAGUCGAAUCAUCAACGUUUCUCUCAAAUCGUAGUUAUCAUCAACUCACCGAAAGAUCGGGCCAAACAACUGUCUUGAGUGUCAAAAUGAACUCAGGGGUUCAUCAUGGUUUCUCCGGUAGUUUUUUAUUAUUAUUUUAACUAAGGUUUCUCCAGCAGUGGUUAUAUCUAAUCGAUCUUCCCGGUCACAUGAACGUUCAAACACUACAGCUAGAAACUCAGCCUGCUGCAUAUACCUUGCUAGAUAUGGUUUCCACAUCCAAAGUGCAAACUGCAAUCUCGCAUGCAUGGAUUCGUCUUUCAGCAAACUAAGCUUUUGGCGAUCAGACAGGCGCCAUUCGAUAUCUCAGCCAUGACUCAAUCAUGUUCGUCACUGUCAUGUCUCGGAGGGAACCGAACGCUAGCUAACACGGCACAUGGAGAAUAAUUGUCGAAAAACGACAUGGCACACGAGCAAUCAACCGACGAUGGCUACUCACGGAAUUAUAUAUAUCAUCGUUAUCGUGUACUCUUAUGUAGUAUCAAAUUUAUGAACUGCCCCUUCCCUUUUUUAAUAGAUGAAGCCAUCUCCUUUUACACUACUACUUUCUUUUUAAGAAUCGGAAACUACCUACUAAGCGCAUAUAUUCUGCCGUAACGUGCUCAUCGUCCUCUAACCCAGUACAUAUGCUGAUUGUAAUCCAUAAUAGCUUAUCAAUUAUCCAAAAUAGUUAAUGAGUAUAUAUAUCAUUAACGAAUUAAAAACCAAUAUAAAAAACUACAAUAAAAACUAAAAUAAACUAUGAGCUGUGAUAAACACAACAGAAUUUUAAAGCUUGUUUAGAGAGUUUAAAAUUUUGAGAAGCUAGUAAGAAUCUGAAAAGGUUGAAUUUUCCAGUAUGACUUUUACUUCAUUUUCUAAAUUCUAGCUUGUAACAAUCUAAAAAAAUUGGAAUUUUCAGCUUCUAACUUUUACUUUGUUUUUUAAAUUCUACAACUAUAUAUUACUAGAAAAAAUACCCGUGCGUUGCAACGGGUGAAGUCUAUUUUAAUCUUAUUAUUGUUAUAUGGUUUAGUUAAGAUGAAAUUCACUGUGAGAAUUCGCUUGGAUAUAUAUAUAUAUAUAUAUAUAUAUAUAUAUAUAUAUAUAUAUAUAUAUAUAUAUAUAUAGAGAGAGAGAGAGAGAGAGAGAAUCAUGGGCUGUAGUUAGGACUUCGGUCGUCUCAAGUUAGCAUGCGAGUUUUUUUAAACAUAUUUUUUAUAUGAUUACUUCUGUAUUAUCAAAAGUGAACGAUCUUAAAAACCUACCCAUACACGGAUAACGUAUCAAAAUACCAGCAAAAAUAUCUUCAAUUUUUAUAAUAGAUAAUAUUUCAGAGACUGAAUGACAAUCUAAACUAUUGAGUAAAGUCCAUCACCAGUCCCUAAACUUGUACCGCUGUGUCAUCCCGGUCUCUAAACUCGCAAAUCGACCGUUCAGGUCCUCAAACUUGUUCGACUGUGUUAUCCCGGUCCCUAAACUUGUAGAUCACUCGUUUAUGUCCUCCAACUUGUUCAGUUGUGUCACCCCGAUCCCUAAACUUGGAUUUGAAUAUCAUCUGGGUCAAAUAGGACGGUCUAAAGACUUUAUAUUUAAAAAUAAUUCAUAACUUUUUCAUGUGAACUCUAAUGAAGAUAAACUUUAUAUCAAACUUAUAGCCCUCGACGCGAUCUAUAACUUUGUAGUUGAAUUUUGAUAUAAAGUUUGUCUUCAUUAGAGUUCACAUGAAAAAGUUAUGAAUUAUUUUUUGAUAUAAAGUUUUUAGACCGUCCUGCUUAGGGACCGGGGUGACACAACUGAACAAGUUGCAGGACCUAAACGAGUGAUCUGCAAGUUUAGGGACCGGGAUGACACAGUCAAACAAGUUUGAGGACCUGAACGGUCGAUUUGCGAGUUUAGGGAUCAGGAUGACACAACGGUAUAAGUUUAGGGACUGGUGAUGGACUUUACUCUAAACUAUUUAAAGGAGUUUUUAACUGUUGAAGAUUCAAAGCUCAUCAAGAGCUCUCUUAGCGCAUUUUUUUUACUAGGACCUAUUAACUUAACAUUUUAAGUCAGUUUUUUAUAUGAUUUAUAAAUUAAUGGAUUUAAAGUUUUAAGUUAAUUGGUGAAGUCAUAUCUCUAUCUUACAUAAACAAAAAUAAUUUUUUCAACCCAGUUUUUGGCUUAAUAGUGUAUAAGAGUGACUUAUAGCUUUAGAAGACCAAACAAAAAGCUAUUAUUUGUUUAGAUUUGGAGUUUUCGACUCAUAAGUUGAUUUAUAAGCAUAAAUAAGAGGGAUUUGUUUAAACUGGAUCUAAAAAUACACCACGAUUACAAGCGGCGUCCCGGUAGGCAAAACAACCUAAAAAGGCGCCUGCGCACAUUGCCUUGCUGGACGACGCUGGUGCAUGCACGCACGCACGGCAUUGCAGAGCCCGUGACGUGAGGGCGAGCUAGCCAACAACGCUCACGAGCCGAAUACAACCAAACGCCGCUCCGUCCGGCCACCUCCCCUUCCUCCUCCAUCAUCUCACCGGGUGCGCUUCCCCUCCCCUUCGUACAACGAAGAUUUGCUAUUCGCCAGGGCCCAACCACAGUUAUAGCUCACGUAGCCGCUACAGGCUUCUUCGCCGCCUCGUCUCCUCCUCGAUCUCCCUUCCUCCCUAGAAAAUCUCUCGGAUCUCGCCGAGAGCUAGCGGCUGGCUGGCGGCGGUGGCGCGGUGGCAGCAAAGUGUACGCUUUGCAGUUGCUGCCGGCGCGGCGCGGCAGCGGUGACGACGAAGAGGGAGGAGGAGAGAGGCUGUGUCGGGUUUGUGUUGUGUUUGUGUGUGUAGUGUGAGAUCUGGAGACGGCCGGGAGGAUGGCGCGCGGCGGGAGCUUCUCGCGGCUGCGGCUGCGCGCGGGGGUCGUUGUCGCCGCCGCCGCCGCCGCCCUGCUCCUCUUCGCCGUCGUCGCGCCGCCCGCCGCGGCGCUCAACAUCGGCCUCCAGUCCGCCGGCGACGGCGCGGUACGUACACUAUAUACGUCACUACCCACUCUCUCUCUCUCCUAAUCUGCUCGUACUCGUUGGCUAACAAAGUUGAUUAAUCAUUAUGACUGGGGGAGCGACGCCGCAGAGCAAGGCCGGGUUGUGCAGCCGCACGUGCGAGUCCGACCACUGCACGAGUAAGUGGCUAUGUUAUUCGUCGUCGUCGUCGAUCCUAAAUUUGAUUGUGAUCUUUGCUCUGACGACGGUGAUCUCGAUUGGGUGCGUGUGCAGCGCCGCCGUUGCUGCGCUACGGCAAGUACUGCGGCAUCCUGUACAGCGGCUGCCCCGGCGAGCAGCCGUGCGACGAGCUCGACGCCUGCUGCAUGCACCACGACAACUGCGUCCAGGCCAAGAGUACGUCACAGAACUAAUCCAUCAUAAUUACCAACUACUGUCCCGUAUUUGCAUAGCAUAUGCUGCUUAGUUUUCUAUGUGUAUAUAUAUUUUUUUUUCUUUCGUUCAUAUCAUCAGAUGACUACCUGAGCACGGCGUGCAACGAGGAGUUGCUGGAGUGCCUGGCGAGGCUGCGGGAGGGCUCGUCGACGUUCCAGGGGAACAAGUGCAUGAUCGACGAGGUCAUCGACGUGAUCUCGCUCGUCAUCGAGGCCGCCGUCGUCGCCGGCAGGCUGCUGCACAAGCCUUAGCUUACAUAGCCUCAGCCGUGCUGCAGGCACCACCCCUGCCGGCGGCGAACGGCGGCCGGAUCGACGGCAUGGGCGGCGCGAAGGAUGAGCAGUAUUGUCCUCUAACUUCGAAUCACUGACGUGUAGGUCCAGUAGAUGUGGGGCCUACAUGUCAGUCAGUCACAGUCAAUAAUGACCGUACUACAGAGGAUAAAGUGCUUGUGCGUUAUUGGGUGGGUGGUACAUGUUUUGCUUGCUUGGUGUGUGUCAGUGUGUGUGUGUGUGUGCAGCUUAGCUAGCACCGGGCUGGCGGCUGCGUGCGUCGCCUUCAACUUCACAGUUCACGUGGGCUCCCCCUUGACAGAGGCCCAGACUUACGACAAAUAUAUGCAGAUCACAAAUAUUACUACAUGGUUUUGGACUUCGGUUUUGUGCCACUUGCUGCUUUAUUUAUCGUGCACAUCUGGUGUGAUAAUGUUAUCAAUAAACGUAUACAUGUCCCACAUAGGUAUGACAAGACAAUUCGUCUGCCGGUUUGGAUUAUGUGAUGGCAGAUGGUAUCAUAAGCUUUUCCUUUCCUUCAGAUGGAUCUUUGUAAGAUUUGUACUUGGACGGUUGGCGAGUCUCUAUGACGGGAUAUUUAGGACAUCCAUGAUAUAGUAGAAAAGUAAAUAUUAGUAACUAAAAAAAUCUUAUUAUCAGGUAAGAUAUAUUGUGAAAAAUAGUAAAUAGUUACUACCAAAUUAUAGGCUUACUUUCAAGAUAUAAACACUUUGUGACGUGUCCUACCUAUUUUUUAGUUGUGCCAUUGCUUAUGUUUGUGGUUUUUUCAGUUCACCUUGUUACCCGUACUCUUCACAUAUAGACAUUGUGAUGUAGGCUGUGUUUAGAUCCAAGGGUGAAAAAUUUUAGCGUAUCACAUCGAAUAUUCGGACACACAUUUAAAGUAUUAAACCUAGAUUAAUAACAAAACAAAUUACAUAUUCCUCCUGUAAACUACGAGACGAAUUUAUUAAGCCUAAUUAAUUCGUCAUUAGUAAAUGUUUACUGUAGCACCACAUUGUCAAAUCAUAGAGUAAUUAGGCUUAAAAGAUUCAUCUCGCAAUUUACACGCAAUCUGUGUAAUUAAUUUUUUUUAUCUAUAUUUAAUACUCCGCGCAUGUGUCCAAACAUUCGAUGUGACGGGGUGAAAAAGUUUUUACGAGGGAACUAAACAUGGCCGUAUUUUCAAUUUAGAGUAAAUUACACCCACGGUGUAUCAACUUGGUAGGUGGGUGUAAUUUAGUACAAGAACUUGAUAAAUGAGUAUUCUAGUGCAACAACUUGGUAGAUAUGUACAAUUUAGUACAUGAACUUUAUAAGUGACUGUAUAAAUGCAACAACUUGCAAGAUAUGUACGAUUUUGAUACAAUAAGUUCAGAAGUUAUGCGACAAUUUAAUUAUUUGGAGCACUUUUUUAUACAUAUUCAAUUUUUAAGUACUUAUUUUAACAAUAUACUAGUGUGGUUUUGUAUAUAAGCAUAUUUAUAUUUUUAUCCUAAUAACUAAUAACUGAAAGUCAAUUAAACUGGAUGUAAAAAUUAUUAUAUUUCAGUUGAGAUUUGAGAAGGUGAAGAAAACAAAAAUUUUUAAAGGUAAUUGGAUGUGCAGUAUAAUUCUUAAAGAUUAAAUUCAAUAUUAUAAGGUAUUAAGGUAAUAUCCGUACGAUUGCUAUGUAAAGGCAUAUUGACAUCGCGAGAAAAACUCACAUAGCAUAUGCUUAGCUAAGUUGAUGUACCAAAAUACUAAAUUGUCAAGUUCUUGUACUAGAACGUACCUACUUGUCAAGUUGUUGCACUCGAACGUUCAAUUCUCAAGUUCUUAUACUAUAUCGUAUCCACCUAUCAAGUUGUUGUAUAUGGGUGUAACUUGUUCUUUAAUUCACCAUUAACAUUUGACAUGGGUUUAUCUUACCAUCCACUUUUGUAAUAAACAUUGAGGAUGCUCUAGGAUCUGCGUAACUAUAAAGUACUACUGAACAGUGGGCUAAUCAGACAACUUAAGAACACAUGGUCAUAACUAUGCAGGAUGCAACCGUGUUCUUAAACAGAGUCGUUGAGCUGUGUUUAUUAAGGAAACUGCAAUAAUACAUGCUAUGACCGUGUGAUUAGUUAACAGCCUAACUUACAAUACUGUUUAUUAGUCCCGUUGAACUGUAUCAACCAUACGGCAGAUACUCCCGGAGUUGUACCGCUUGCUCCUAGGAUCAGCUACUGACCACAUGGUAAAAAUCAGGCAAGAACAGCAGUUGAAACAAAUAUUUUUUUUUUUGAGGGGAUAGAAGCAAAUCUAAAGAAAUGUUGCUCCGCUUCCACGAUUCAUCGAACAGUGGGCUAAUCAGACAAUCAGCGUCUGUUUGAAAAUAUGACGAGCAUUGCUGAUUUGCUGUCGGCAUUUGGUAACAUUAAGAACUGGAGAUAGAUUUUAUUAAGCAUAAAUAUCACCCCUGGAAACAGAGUAGCAGCGUAGUUGUGUGACUUGUGUCUGAAGACGGGGAAAAAAGCACAGCUACUCUACAUCGUACAUCAAAUUUAUUGCCAUAAAAUUCAUCCAUGAAAACAGAGUAGCAAGGUAUUUACACUGUCUGAAGACGGGAGAAGAAAGCACAGCUACUCAACAUCGUACUGCAGAUUUAUUGCGACGAGGAUAGGUAAUCAGCAUCAUCACCAUUGCUUCUAGGUCAUCACUCGUUUAUUUGACAUAUAGGUAACUGCUUCAACUAAUUUUCAUAAAGUGGCUGAGGUGGGAUUUUCCUUUGUAACCUGAGAAAGCAUAAAAAAGCAUGCUAGCAAAUUUUAAAAAAAGGUGGAAAAGUUUAUGAAACAUCGAUAGCUAUAAUUUUACGAUGUUGUAUGAGGUGUACUGGUGUAGUAUCCACUUCAGCAUUGCAAGCAAGCCGGUAAGUUUAAGAUGGAGUACUUGUUAUGUAUAAACAGGACCAAAUUACCUACAAAAUUUCUGCUAACAGUGACUUAAACAAGGACACUAAUAAAUUUCUGCCUUCGGAGUUUUCAAGUGAUUGACAUGAAAGAUAAAGUAAAACAUCAUUCCCAUUUGUAAAAAUACAAACAGCGGCACAAUACCUUGUUUCAAUAUAUACAGGUACAAGUAACCAAUAUGUGUCCUGUGUUACAGGCUACGGCAAAACUAUACAGUAUCAAGUACAAGAUUAUGCAGUAUAAGAUUAUACAGUCUAAAACAAGUACUUCCUCCGUUUCGCAAUGUAAGACUUUCUAGUAUUGUCUAUAUUCAUAUAAAUAUUAAUAAAUCUAGACAUAUAUGUAUCUAGAUUCAUUAACAUCUAUAUGAAUGUGGGUAAUGCUAGAAAGUCUUACAUUGUGAAAUGGAGGGAUUAGCUUGGUUUGAGCAGUUUAGGACAAGCUUGGAAGUAGAAUAGCUUGUUUCUAGGCAAUUCUAGACUUCUACUGCGCGACAGUAAGUUAUGCAAAGACCACCAAGAGCAAAUAUAGAAGAUAGAAUUUUAACUUUAGAAUUCUCCAAAAGUGUUAAAAUAAACUAACCAGUUUUGCUUGGACCAUUCACAUCCUUCGGUAUCAAUUACAUGUAAGCUCAGUGCAUGUCUUGACACCGGAGAAAGAUUUUCAAAGCUGGCAAAGAAAGUUAAAACAUAUUAGUAAAAAAAUGAAGCAGUUGAUUGCAAGCAUACGCAAUAUAACAGGAUAACUUCACCUCUGGUGUAUAAGAUCUCCAUGAAUAACCACCAAAUCACCUGACUUUACUUCUAAGGGCACAAAUUCUUUCAGAUCAUAGGUUGGCGAAGGAUGAUCAAAAUGAGUAUCGAUUUCAUCUCUGAUCAUUCGCCUUUUCAGGCCAUCUGGUACAAAGCAAUGUAAAUGAUAAACAAAUCAGAAGCUCAGAUAAACACAAGAGGAUUCUUGAAAUAAAAUAAUUUGAUGCGAAAAUCUACUUUUAUGUGAUCCAGGAAUUGCCCAAAGGCAACCAUUCGUUUUUGUCGCAUCUUCGAGUGCAAGCCACAGCCCUGUGCACGAUGGAGGGUCUGUAUAUAGGAAUGUAUUAUCCUGGUGUGGUACCACCUCGCCACCAAUGCCUGGUUGCUGAGUUGUGGAGAAAUUAACCCAAUAAGGAAUAAAAGUUAUAGUCAAUGCCAACAAGAAACUAGAGACUGCACAAGGUACCUUAAAGAUGUACAUAGAUUGAAUAACUGCAGGUCUCUUGUAGCGUAAAGAAGAGAACAGGCUGGAAACAUUCGCUCCAAAAGAGAACUUUUUGAACACAGGGUCAAGUUCAUGUAACGCUGCAUAAAUUACUGAGCAGUGAAUGGCAAUAUCUCAAGAUAUAUUGUUAUAAGUAUACAAGUAUACAAACAAUAUAAGCUUUUCAAAGCAUGGAAAAUACUAACGUUAACUAGAAAAAAACAACCAAACAGGCAAAUUCAAAAACAAACUAACUCAAGAAAAUUUCUCUUAACCCAGAUUAAUGGAAAUGCAAACAGCAGAAAUAGCAAGGUUGAACAAGAAAAUUUAUGUUCAGAACAAGAAAAGAAUUACCAAUAAAAGUGCUACACGAUUGGUUAUAAGACUAUUCCAGCAGCACCUAUGAAUCGAAUGCAAUCUUGUUUAGGAUGUUACGUUGUUAUCUUUCGGCCUAGAUGCAAUGUAAAUAUUUGUUUGAGCAAUCAGAGAAGUCUAUUACAAUUUUCGACUUCUAUAUUUAAGUAGGAAAAUCCCUGACUGUUUCUCACAAGAAGUCAUCAUGCUAAGACAAUUUACAACUUGCAUAGCAAGUGGCAUCAGGUUCCAAACCAUGCAACAUAAACAACACAAUAAUCUUGCAAGAUUCAAUCAAUCAUCAUAGUACAAACUACACACAUGUAUAACCAAUUUCUACUUGGCAUACUGACCGUGCCCAACUUUAUUGAUUGAAAGUUCCUUUGCCUGCUUCAAGCAUCCAUCAUCUCCAAAUGCCUUUUCUGUGAGUAAUAGAAACAGCAAAAUAUAUAAAUAUAAAUCACUAUCCAAAUCCAAGUAAACCUGCACAUGCUAAAAGAUGUAAAGCAACAACAGAGCCAGAAGAACUGUUCGACACUAAUAGGUCUGUAACUAGUACACAUUAUCUUCUUGUUUUUUUUUAACAAACUACCAACCAAUUCCUUGUUCAGAUAGCAUAACUGAUGAAUGUUAAACUCCACAACUCCAAGAGGAUGAACUUCACUUACCCUCAAAGAAGAAAGAGAUAUUCUCCGCACUCUUGAAGAAAAAGUCGUUCUUCACCUGCCGCUGCAUUGGGAAACAAUGUAACAGUAAGUUCAAACCGCGAUGCAUGUGCCACUGGCAAUCAAAUCUAGCAGCGAGACUAGAAACUACUCCUCCUGAUAAUGUACAUACGACAAGCAUACAGAGACAGCUAUUCAGUAAAGGGGAAAAAUAUCUUUCCCCAGACAUACGUGAUCCUUUGUGGAGAAGACGUCGCCAGCGCCGUCGAAGCCGUCGACGAGCUCCGCCAUGCGGUCCCUCAUCGCCCUCACCUCCUCCGCGCUGGAGAACGACCCCAGCACGAGGUACCCUGCGACCAACGAGACCCCCCCACGCGCGACAAGGAUUUAGGUCCCCUCGUAUCGUACAUAGUUCUAGCUGGGCAAUUCGCUGCCUCCGAUUGCUGGGAGCGACACUGACCAGAUGGCCGCGGAGGAGGAGGAGGGGAGGGGAACGAGCGGUGGCUGGCGCUUACCAUUGGCGUCGAAGAAGCGGAGCUGCUCGUCGGUGAGGCUACCGGCCGGCGGCAUGGCGGCGGACGGGAAGGGGAGAUGAGAAGUUUGACGAAACAGGGGGCGGGUGGAUUGCAGGAGUGGACUACAGGAUACUACACGAAACCGCAUAAAGCUGGAAUAAUUAACUACUCCGUAUUUGCCACUCGGCCGUGUUUGCAAUCCUUCGUUCCCACCCUUCUCCAUCGUAUUCCCCACACACACGUACUAUUUAAAAUUGCUAAAUGGGUGUUUUUUAAAAAAAAUUUAUACAAAAAUUAUUAAAAAAUCAUAUUGAUAUAUUUUAUUUUAAAAAAUAGCUAAUAUUUAAUUAAUUACGCGCUAAUAGACCACUAUGUUUUCUGUGCACACUGUACAUGUUGGAAACCCAUGAUUGCAAACACAGCUUUAGGGCGUUCGGAACCAAGUGCUCGCACGGAAAACGGAGCGAUUCAUUAGCGCGCGAUUAAUUAGAUAUUAAAUAAUUUUUUUCAAAAAUAGUUUAAUUUGUUUUUAAGCAACUUUUGUAUAAAAACUUUUUUUGUAAAAAAUACACCGUUUAGUAGUUUAAAAAACGUACGCGCGGAAAACAAGAGAUAUAUGUUGAGAAGAGAGGGUGCCGAACACAGCCUUAAUGUGGUGAUAAAAUUAUUUAUCACUAAACCCACAUGUCAUAGAUAUAUGAGUUCUCACAUGUUAUAGACAAUGAGUGGCAAAUAAUUAAUUGUCACAUCUUAAAAGUGGCAUAAAGUUAAAUGUCCCAUUUUUACGUUUCCUUGAAGCAAAAGCGGGCAUCGAGUUUCAGCCACAAACGUUUACGCUUCCUUGGAGGGAAAGCAGAUUAUUGUGGUGCGAGCGUCUUGGGCUUUUGUUUUGUAGGCUUCUAAGCUGCCUAGCAGGAAGCUGGGCCUUACUACAUACUCCCUCCGUUAAAAAAAAAGACAAACCUUGGGUUUCUGUGUCCGUCUUAUAUGAAAGUUUUUUUAUAAUUAGUAUUUUUAUUGUUGUUAGAUGAUAAAACAUGAUUAAUACUUUAUACGUGACUUGUCUUUUUAAUUUUUUUUCAUAUUAUUUUCAAAUAAGACGAACGGUCAAACGUUGGACACGGAAACCCAGGGUUUGUCUUUUUUUUAAGGACGGAAGGAGUAUAUCGGAACCUUUGAUCCGUACGGAUAAGGUUUUUUUUUCAUUUUUCAUUUAUUUAUUUAUGAAAAUAUUUAUAAACAUAAUUUUUAUAUUUUUCAAAGUAUUGCAGAUUUAAAGAUUCUACACCCGAGCUUCUUGAUAGGGGGUAAUAUUUGAAAUUACAAAUUAUUUUUCUAAAUAUUUCAAUAAAAAAAUUAAUAAAAGAAAAAAAUCUACUACGUUGCGAACCCACAGCUUAGGAAAAACGCUAAGGUCACCCAAAAACGGCGCGCGUGAGACGUAAGCAACUCCCGAAAUCGGCAACCGCCUCCGCCGCGGCCGAUCGAUUCCUCCCUCUCGUAUAAACACACGAGCCUCCCCGCCGUCGCCGGCGCCCCCCCCCCCCCCCCUUCCCGCCGCCCCCACGACGCAGCCAUGUCGGGCUGGUCGGGGAUCCACGACGACAUGCUCCUCCUCGUCGUCGGGCGCCUCCCGGCACUCGACCUCCUCCGCUUCCGCGCCGUCUGCGCCUCAUGGCGCGCCGCCGCCGCCAUCUUCGUCGACGGCCGCGGCCGCCCGCGCCCCGACCGCCCCUGGCUCCUGCUCCCCGCCGACGCACCCGAUCCGGAUGAUGGCUGCCGCUUCGUCGUCUCCCGCGACCGGGAGGUCCCCGUCGUCGCCCUCCCCGCGCGCCUCGGCCGCGAUGGGGGACGAGGGUUCGUGCCCCUCGGCUCCUCCCGUGGCGUGAUCGUGGCCGCCGAUGACCGCGGCGAGAUGCACCUGCUCGACCCCGUCACCGGUAAGCGCAGGGCGCUUCCCCCCGUCAUCUCGCUCCCGCUCGUCGACGGCGUCGAAGGGGGCCCAGCGGGGCUGAACGUCCGCCAUGGCGGCGGCACCGUCUCCCGCAUCGACGGCCUGAUCCACAAGGCCGUGCCGGUGCCCGCACCGGACGGGGGGCUCCUCGUGGUCGUGAUCUACCGGCAGGUCCACCACCGCAACCAGUGGGCGACGGCGCGCCCCGGCGACCGCGCGUGGAAGUCCGUGAAGCCGACGAGCAUCCCCGCCGUGGUCGACGUGGCCGUCCACCGCGGGCAGCUCUACGCCAACACGCGGUACGGGAUGGUGUACGCGUUCCCGGAGCUGCGCGGGCUGGGCUCCGCCUCGCCGGAGAUCAUCCCCUCCGUGACGCGGCGGCCGAACGCGUACGUGGAGCGCAGCUUCCUGGUGGAGUCCCCGCCAGGCUCCGCCGGCGGCCGCCGCGGGCUGAUGCAGGUGGAGCUGCUCCGGCCCGUGGCCGCGUCCGGCGGCGGCGAGGACGAGGAGGAGGGGUUCGUGGUGCGCGUGCUGGACGAAUGCGGCGAGACGUGGGAGGAGGCGGACGACAUCGGCGACGUGGCGGUGCUCGUGGACGCGUCGGGCGCGGUGGCGGCGUCUACGCGGGAGUGCCCCGGGCUGCGACCCAGCACCGUGUACUUCGCCGUGGACCUCGCCGGCGAGACGCGCGUGUGCGCGUACAGCCUCGCCGCGGCGGCCAAGGGCAAGCACAAGAGGAUCGAGGUCAUCGAGUCGAUCCCCAUGGCGGAGGGGUACAAGCCGCCCUGCUUCUGGUUCGCGCCGGUCUACACGCCGUGACCGUGCCACCGCGGCGGCUCGAGUUUGAUGGUGACCAUUGCCUUUGGAUGGACGUAUUGCGAGUUGGAUCUAAGCCAGAAGAACUCAGAGAAUUGUCCGUCUUCUUCACAGUGGAAUUCUUGCAUGGUUGCAUAUGUCUUUGCAUGUCUAGUGUUCAUCAACCUUGAGUAUUUUUAUCUCUUGUGGAUCAUAAUGGAGUGGUAGAUUAUCAGGAAUCCAGGAUGUUCUCUGCUUUGUGUAAAGUAGAUCAGUAUAGGAGUAUUAGAUUAUACGGAGUCAUAUAUAUGAAGGUUCAUCCCAAAUGUCAGCAACUUUUGAGUCCCCGGCGAUUGUGUCGUUUAUCCCAAAUGUACCAACAAAUUCUCUUUUAUACGGUCGUAAGAAUCUCCUUUAUUAAUGCGAGCUACAGCGAGAUACUACUACUAUACUCCCUCUGCCGAUGUGCCCUUUCUAGUACAACAAAUCUGGAUAAAGGUCUAUCCAGGUCCUCUCCUAGGUUAGCUUUUUUUUUUGGACGGAGGAAGUAGAUGUAAGAGGGAUGCUAUAUAAUGAAAUCUCGUUUUCGAACGGGAUGAUACCUAACAUCAGGUUCGGUAUCGGGUGAUAACUAUCAGAUAUCAGGCGAUUUUACCACGUUUCAGGUGAUACUUGCGAGGUAUCAGGUGAUACCUAUCAGGUAUCAUGUGAUUCUUACCACAUAGAAGGUGAUACUUGCGAUGUAUCAGGUGACACCUACCAGGUGUCAAGUGAUACCUAUCAGGUAGGUAUCACGUGCCAGGUAUCACGCGAUAUAUACCCGACGUACUCCGACGACCACUGCCGCCCCAGCGACCCUUCCUUCCUAGCUCCGACCACCGCCGCCGCUCCCUCCUCCAACUCCGACGCCGCACCAUCGCCACCCCCUCCCUCCCCAGGAUCCGGCUACCACCACCGCUGCCCCUCCCUCCCUGGCUCCGGCCACCGUCACCGCUCCCUCCCCCUACUCCGGUCACCUCCGCCGCUCUCUCUCUCGGCUCCGGCCACCAUCGCCGCCCCCUCCCUCGGCUCUCUGGCUCCAGCCACCGCUGUCUCUCUCUCUCUCCCUUGGCUCCGGCACCCACCGCCGCCCCCUCCCCCGGCUCUCUGGCUCCAGCCACCGCCGCCGCUCUCCCCCCACCAUCGGCUCGGCCGUUGUGCCUCGUGCUCUUGCAGCUGAUAGAGGUGGCACUACACUGAUCAGGUCAUCUCUGACGGGCUCAUACCCUUACCUGUGACGGGUUAAGCACUGGUCACAGAUCUGUGGUCACUGAUGACUCGGAGUCACCUGUGACGGGUAAAGACCCGUUAGAGGUAAAAGUUACCUUUGACGGACUGAAAACUAAAAUCCGUCGUAGGUGAGGUCACCUGUGACAGAGGGGUCCGAAUUGGGACACGUCACAAACCUCAAAAAUGAGGGAAAAAUAAUAUUAUAAGCCUAGCUAGUCGCAGACCAUUAGGCAUCACAAAUCACAAAAAUGAUCACAUUCACAGUCAUUUCGACACAAGACAGAAUCACAAAAAUCAUCGCAAUCAUAUUCAUCUGGCCAAAGAACAAAAUCACUUCACAUUCACAAUCAUUUGGGCACAAAACAAAAUUACAAAAAUCAUCACAAUCAUAUUCAUCUGGCGGUGGUGCGGUGGUGGAGGAAGCGGCCAACGGUCAAGAGGGAGGCGGUGGCCGGAUCCGCGCCCGGAUCCGGCGGUUGGCGGUGCGGUGGCGGAGGAGGAAGCGGUUGACGGUCGGGGGAGAGGCCGCGAUGGCCGGCGGUCGGGAGGUUGGGAGGCGGCGGCGACCGACGGUCGGGGGAGAGGCCGCGGCGGCCGGAUCCGCACCUCGUAGGCCAGAUCCGGCGACCGGCGGUCGGGAGGCGGGGAGGCGGCGGCGGCCGACGGUCAGGAGGCGGGGACGCGUCAGCGGCCGGCGCUCGGGAGACGGGGAGGCGGCAGCGACCGACGGUCGGGGGAGAGGCCGUGGUGGCCCGAUCCGCGCCUCGUAUGCUAGAUCCGGCGACCGGCGGUCAGGAGGCGGGGAGGUAGCGGCGGCUGCCGGUCGGGAGACGGGGAGGCGUCAGCGGCCGGCGCUCGGGAGGGCGCCAUGGCCCGAUCUGUGAGGGAGAGAGUGAGGAGGGAGAGAAGGAAGAUGAGGGGGGAGAGAGUGAGUGAGGGAAAGAAAGAAGAUGAGAAGGGAAGAUGAGGAGGGAUGGGGAAUCCGAGGGGAGGAGUAGGGUCGCAGGGGGUGGGUGUGGGAUUUUUUGGUAAGUCAUCUCUGACGGCUAUAAUUUUUUAACUCGUUUGAGAUGAGAUAUCUAAUCUUCGACGGGUUGCAAAUUUAACACCCGUCACAGGUGAGGUCAAACCAGUAAUGGGUUGGAGAGCAAACCCGUCACUACGUCACAGGUAUAGUCACAUGUGAGGUGAUACCUGUGACGGACCAUGGCCAGAUGCCUCACCGAUGACGGCAAACCUAACGACCCGUUAAAAGUGUUGGUCAUCUGUGACCAAUCCUUAAGCCCGUCACUGGUGUGCCGUCACAGAUGUAGGGUUCUGGCAUAGUGUGGAGGGGAAGCUAUCCCGUUGGGGGCAACGGUAUCCC